rnacentral:lncRNA from 1 species
GGGAGUGUUGAUGAUAACAUUCAAAUUUGAUAAAUUGUAUGGCAGAGUAAUGUCACAAUUUUAUACAUAUUUUACAACAUUUUAAACGAAUAAUCACUACAACAAAAACAGUCUAUAGCGACACUUUUAAAUGUCGGUACAUGUCAAAAAAAAUGUUGCUGGCUAAAUUACCGACAUUUUUAAAAAGUGUUGCUAUAUGUGGGGUCGCUAGGUAUAUAGUGACAGCUUAAGAGUGUCGCUAUAAUCUAAAAAAGUGCUGCUAAUUUACCAAUAUUUAUUUAAGCAUUUAGCAACCGUCGAAACUCUACCUCGUUGGCUGCAGUGGCAGAGGAGGACGAGAGGGAAGGGCUCUUCGUCUAGAAUUUCAAUGAAUUGAGUGAGGAGAGAAGGAUAGACGGUAAUCGAUUUUUCUUUUUUUUUUCUUUUUUGUUUGUAAUCGGGCCGAAUGAGUUGGGUGGGGUGGGUUGAGUAGAGUAAUCUUUUCUUUUUGGUUGGAUUGAACUUUAUAUUUAGGCAUUAGUAGAUGUUUUUUUAAAUCUGGACAUAAAUGGGACACUUACACAAAAGUGUCCAAAAUAUGUGUUCCUAUAAUCAAAUUCUGUUGUAGUGAAUUGAUGCAAUUCAUGAAAAGAAUGGUGUAAAUCAACCGUAGUUAAAAUGAUAAUUACAAUAACAAAAAAGGACCGAUGAAAUAUAAUUCGUUAAUAUCAGUAGACGCAUCGGAUUGUAUGAUAUUUGAUCUAGAACCCAUGGUAGUUUAUUUGCGUGUGUGUAUUUAUUAGGUCGAUCGAGAGUUCAACUUUGAAUCAAAACAUUUUCAAAAAAAAAUCUACAAAAUCUAUCGUUUUUCUAGUGUCUUGUCGCGUUAACUUUAAUUUAGAACUGCUCCUCCACACAUACUGCAAAAUAAAAGUCAGCUAAAAACUUAAUUAAAGAACAUUUGGUCAAAUAACAUUUGAACAUGCAAUGUUAGCGGGGGUCUAUCGGCACCCUUAAUGUCGUUGUCUUUUGGAGCUAAAAAAGAGCCGUUGAAGACCACGCCACCAUGUCUAAGUUUCAAAGUAAAAUUAAAGUGCGGAAUGAGAGUGGUGGCACGCCUAAAUUUUGUCCAUCCACAAAGGUGCUCUUAUUGGCCCGCUUUGCGUUGUCGAAUCCAUGAGUGCCCUUCGCCACCUUUUACGUUAUCUUACGGCUUUAAUUUGGACAACAAAUAUCGUGUGCUAUACCUAGUUAUUCAAUCCUAAGCAAUAGCUUUUGCCCUCUCGUAAAAGCAUUUUGUCCACUGAAAAAAGCUUUAAAACUGUUCCAACAUGUACAUAUUAAUGUGAAAAUAUUUUAUUGCGCUUUUCGCUCUAUUGCAAUCACUAUUCAACACAUAAACUGUAUCGCAAUUCUUUGUUAAUUAAUUCCACCAACCGCCAACUAUCUAAUUAAUACAUUUUGCGUCUAAGUAAAUGGUUGCAAACGUGCUUAAAUGGAGAAAGAAGAGUCCAAUGCGUACGCAUAUGUAGCUUUCGCUAUGCGACAAAUGCUGGAUUAUUACACCCUGCAACUCUACGAGCACCCAUAUAUAGAUGCUGUUGCAGGGUGAGUUGAAUUAACCUUGUCGCGGCACGCUUACGUGCUUAAAUUUGCAUGUCGGUUUUGCGAUAAGAUAGAUUUGGAUCCCCAUUUAUUGGUACUUUUAAGAGCGCCACUCUUGUGUCUUAGUGCCGAGUACCAUUGGUGGCAAAAUAAAUAUUGACCUCUGAAUUCAAACAUGCAUCGUCAAGGAGACAUCAAUGAUCCAUUAACUAAACUUAUGUAGAAAAAGAUGUCUCCAUAUUUAUCAUAUUUCCAGCGACCAAGAGUCAAUUUGCUAGUGUUCAUAAUGAAUACGAAAAACUGAGAAAUUGGAAGUGUUAGUCUCCCCUUUUUUCUUCUGACAAAUCUAUUGGAGCUCAUCCAAAAUAUACAUCGAAGUAAUCCUUUGCUUUCUUACUUCAAAAUCCUUUUAGGACAAUUCUUUACAAAUAUAAACAAAUAUAAAUUUCUCACAACCAUUUCCUUUUGUCGUUGUAUUCGAAUCUUGACUAAUAAUCCUGGUGCAUGCAUGCGCAAGUGCGUAGAUUAGAUGACGGAAAGGUUUAUGUAAUCAUGUAAACAUGGUCUGUAACGUGUAAAAUCAGUCCUAGUGACAUAUAUGGGAUAGAAAGAUUCUUACAAAACGUUAUUUAACUACGUUUAAGCAUUCCUUCGAGAGGCGGCACAAGCCGCAGAGACUCAACAUUUUGUAAAUAUAUACUAGAACCUGCACCUUUAUGGACAAUUAAUUGAUCGAACUAUAUUAAACUAUUGAUAUACUAGGCUCUAUUAUUAAAGAAUAUUUUAAAUCACAAGCAUUCUUAUAUAUCAUGCUUCCUAGCUAGAUUAAAGAAAAAGUUAUGAGAUAGAGUAUUUUAUUUUUUUUUUUUUGAAAAGAAGGCAUCAGGGUCCAUAAUCUAUAGGGUGUGUUUGGUUCGCAUUAUGAAAGAUUACUAGGAAUGAAAAGAUGUCCGAGAAUCUUAUUCCUAUUCAUCCUAUUACUAAGAAUGUGGAAUUCAUGUGUUUGGUUCACACGGUCAUAUUAUUUAGCCAUGUUAUUUAAGAUUACAAAAAAUAUACAAUUAAUUUAUUUAUUUUUUAAAUUAAUUUUAGAUAAUCUAUCAAAAAUUUCAACAUUUUUUUAGAAAAAAAGAAGAGAGAGCAUAGGUUAGAAAGAGAGAGCAUAAUUAAAAAAAAUAGUAAGAAAAAUAGAGUCGAAAUUAGAGGGAGUGAGAGAGUUGAGAUUUUAGAAAAAGAGGGAGAGAGAAAGCUUAGUUUAGAGAGAGAAAAAGAGUUAAAUUUUAGAGAGAAAGAUAAGUUUAGAGAGAGAUGUGAGGUUAUAGUGUAAAGAAAAAUAAUACCAAUUAGCCGACAGGUAGAGAGAAAGAAAGAGAUUAGACAUAUUAUGAUUACCCCAAUUCAUAUUAUAGGAUACCCACCCUUACUAAAGGGAAUGAGAUUAGUACUUUGGAUGAAUCUUAUUUCCAAGUAAAUCCAAUAUUACCAACUAGAUUACUUAGUGCGUUUAGUCAAACACCGUCAUAUUUUUUUAUUCCUAUUGGAUUACUAGAAAUCUUUAAAAGAUAGCACGAACCAAACGCACCCAUAUGUUCAUGUCAAAUAGGGUAAUUAUUAUUAUUAUAUUUUGUAGUCGUUCGACAUGCAAUAGCUAGAUGUACAGAUAUAAGAUUUCGUAGGUAAUACCUGCUGCUUCUUUGACCUAACUAAUGAAAUGGGACUAAAAAAAUUUAUGAGAUUGUAAUAAGUAGAUAAUUGGAUUGUUUAAAAUUGUGGGUUCGGCAGCUUUGCGAAAGAAGCAAUGGACACCUGACAUGUAAUUUACUUUUUUCAACUUUUUAUUUUUCUUUUCUCAGAAUCUUUCAUUAUUUAUUUUUAUAAUUAAAUCAUAAUUAUGAAGUUAUGAUUUGCAUUACUUUUUUGGGGAAUUUGGUACCAUGACAAAUGUUAAUUAUUCGAAAAAAUAUGGUGGGAAUGAUUUUCAAUUUAAGACCAAUUUCAUCCACCACUCUCACGCGAUAUUUUAAUUCAUGUCAUUUACGUAAUAAACAGCAGCCGGAAUAGUCUUACAUUUUGGGGAGCAUAAUCAUUUAGUGAACUAAGGAUGAUUUUAAGAGAUUUAGGUGAAAGCUUAAGCCCUAAAGCAAAUUUGGUAAAGUAGUACAGAAUAUAGAUAGCGCAUUAAGUAAAUUAGGAUUUAGAGUUUUUCUUUUUUGAGAAAAUUAGGAUUUAGAGUAUUGUGAGAUUAAUUUUGAUUAGGCAAAUCCUAAUUAAACUCUACAGGACCGUUUCAUGCAAGAUUGUAUGAUUCCGUAAAUGUUGAACAUUUUAUAUUGGAAAUGACAAGUUUCUUACUAACUUAUCAAGCUACUUAAGCUUGCAACGUUGCUAACUAAUGUAUUAUUAUUAAUAGACUAUUAAUAAUUCCCAUCCAACAUGACAAUAACAAUAUCUCCUACUCAAUAAUAAUUCAGUACUCCUACUAAUAAUCUACAAUAAUAAUUUCAAUAUUUUACUUACACCUUUUAUGACUAUCCAAUUUGAGUUGAAUGGUAACAAUUUAAACAAUUCGAUCAAACUAAUGAAGAAUUUUGAAAUCUUACAAACCUUAAACCAAAUGGGCCCCUAGAUGUAAAAUAUAAUGCAUUGGCAGGGGCUCUAUUGAGCACGGCUAACUAGGAAAUGGCCGACAGAGUGCGUGCAGCUAGUGUGUGGUUGAAGAUAGGGAUGUCAAACGAGCCGGACUGGAGCACGACAGAGUGCGUGCAGCUAGUGUGUGGUUGAAGAUAGGAAUGUCGAACGAGCCGGACGGGAGCACAGCAUGGAUGCUACAGUAUCAGUACCGGUCCGACGGUGUCUGGUACAUCAAAUCAUGUUGGGCCAAUACACUUAGUCCGUGCCAACUGGGCUAGCACGGUCCCGACCUCCCGACCUCAAGUCUCAAGGCAACUUGUCUUCGACCUUGGGGGAUAGAGUUCCUUGGAAAAAGAGCUUGCCCCUUUUUCCGAAGGAGCUCUUCUAGCUCCCUAUGUCUCCCAGUGAGGUUCUUGAGAGGAGUGGGUUUUGGUCCAAUACCUUCUUCUGAUUAAUCUUUUCAAAAAAGAUUUAUAAAUUUUUUAAAAAAUUAUAAAAUUAUUAUUUUUUAACUUUUUAUAAAUUUUAACUUUGUAUCGAACAUCAAUUUAAUUAAAUAGGUAUAAUUUAUUUUUUCAUAUUUUUAAAACUUAUAUUUGUUUAGAGCUCGGCUCCGAGCAUGGCUCGAUUCAACCCGGCCCGUGCCUUCUGGGCUGGAAAGCUGUACUGGCCCGAAGGCUUCGAGGAUCAAACCCGGCACAAUCCUGCUAGGAUUUGACGAUGAGUUGGGCCGCGGCAGCCCCUAUCCCAUUUUGGUCUAGAUAAUGUGGGUCGUGUUGGUCCGACACAACCUACGUUACACCCCCUACAUUAUAUCUCAAAUGUAUCUUGUGCAUAGGUGCAUAAGAAGAAAGAAAAGUGUAAUUAUAUAUUGCUAGAAGACAAAGAUGGAUAAAAGAUUUCAAAAGAGAGCUCGAAUUAAAAGUAUUCUGUAUAAAAAAAAAAAAAUAAUUAUUUGUGUAAUUCUUUUCUUAAUUAGUAAAUUUUAUUUACCUAUAUGCUUUUGCUGUUGUAACGAACUUAUGGUAAAAAAUUUAUUCAACUAGUUUGUUGCAGCAUUUUAAUAAUUAGUAUCAGAGCAAAUACCGGAUUUAUAGCACUUGGUAUUAAAAUGGUUCAUGAAGCAACCAUGCGGACUCACAAACCUAAAUUAUGUACCACUUUAGCCGAGGCCCCAGAGACCAACUGCACCCAACAAUUCUGGGCCCUUUUAAGGCCCACAAACCACAGAAAUCACAGAGAAUAUGUCCUCAAAGAAUUUAUGCCCCAAUAACCAAAAUUUCAUAUUCGGUUUAUAUUUUCUGGCUAAUUAAAGUAAUAUAAUAAACUAAUUAAGGGAAUUUGGCCUUUUGCCUAUCCUCCCGUUAAAUGACUGUUGGUGAACCCGGUUAGGUCAGGUUGGGCUAGCUCAAGCCUAACUCGGAUCUAAGAGGGUGAAGCUUGGGCUCUAGCUUAUUAUCUGUUCGGAUUUGCUAUUUAUAAUUAUCAUAUGGUACGAUGUUUAAUUUGGCAAAUAAAAGUUUAAAAUUUUAGCUGUGGCAGAAGACAAAGGUGAGAUUUAAAAUUCAGAGAUAAAAAAUUUAAUUUCAAAUUCUUAAAUCUGCUACAGAGCAAAACAUUUGAUAAAAUUUUAAAUACAACAUUUUUUUCAAUAGCAAAAUUAGACUAGCACGGAGAGCUGUGGGCUGGCUGUGCCAAACUAUUAUGGAGUUGAAGAAACAUAUUCUAAAAUGCGCAUCGAAAUAUUACAAUUUUAUGCACAGAAAAUUUCUACAUAUUAAACAAUCUUAUUGUCAAUAAAGUACUUGAUUUAUCUCAACUGUCGAUUUAAAGCGGAAUUGACCAACUGAGAUCUAUCCCAACUUUUAUUGACGAUCAGAUCAUCCUAAGUACAGAAAUUUCUUUUAUUGUUCUACAAUAGUUAUGUACAUUUUCAAACACAAAACACCAGUUUAAUUUGUAAUUGAUAUUGACACGUGAACACGAAUGUACCCUGUCAGAUGAUCAGUCGGUGGUAUAAAUGAAAUUAAUUGAUGAUAAUUGCUGUCAAAGUUUGGAGAAGUUUGUAGAAGAACUUUAAUUUGUAGAGUGGAAGGAGCAGGAGUGAGUCUGUUCCAACUUUUGUCACACUUAAAAAAAAAAUAAUUCGAAAAAAAAAAAUGCUUAGUUCAUCUUGCCUAAUGAAUGAAGCAUGUAGCUUGCUACCUUUUUCUCAAAAAAUAAUAAUAAUAAUAAUAAUAAGCUUACAAUUCGAAAAAAUUUGUAAGAUUAUAGUCCUGUAUCCGCGGGUUUAAAUCUUUCCUUCUACCGACUGUCUAUAAAGCAAGUGGCAAAAGGCUUGGUGGUUGGCACCCAAGGUUCAAAGUUCGAAUCCUAGUUGAUUUACAUUUUUUGCUAAGUUUAUUUCUAAAUGAAAUAAACGAAGCGGGUAGUGUGCUACCUAUCUCUCAAAAAAAAAAAAAAAAUCUUUCCUUCUAGAAUUUAAAUAUGUUUUUUUUUGAAUUUUAGUAUGAACAAAGAAAAACAAGAUUAGUGAAAAAAAGAUGACUCUUGGAUGAUACAGUUGUCGGAUUAUAGUUUUAUUUGUUAAACUGUAAGACCUGCACAGCCCUUCGAAACCAACACAAACUCCAGCAUUUGGAACUUGUCUGGCUUGUGGUAUAGUGUAGUAAUUAUAAUAUUUGAUAAAAAAAAACUGUUAAAAUAUUGGUGUUAUUCCGAGAUGCACUAUAUUAAACUGUUUUAAUUACUAAUUUUUACAGCAGCAUUAUAAGAGCUAAAUUAAUACUUCUACUUACAGUUUUGCUUUAUCUACCAAUAGAAUAUCUAUCUCAAGCAGCGGGUCUUGAGUUCGAACUCUGAAUGUAAGCGGAAAUGAGCGUAUGCAUGGGUCACGAGAAUCUUUUUUUUUUUUUUUUGAAGAACAGAAGCAUUAGUGUUAAAUAUAAAAAUAUUUAAACAUCAUAUUUUACUAAACUUAAAUUUUAGAGUACACCGGUUGUUUCAUAUAUUUCAUAAUUGGAAGCAUUAUUUUUUAUCAUUAAAAAUUUAAUAAAAUAUUAUUGUUACUAAAAUUAGAAGUAAGCGUUGUGUGCCUCAAAGAGUCUAUUAUUAGAGACACGAAAAGAAUAAUAAAAAACGAAGGCUAAAGAAAAAGAGAUAUUUAUUUUAUUGAAAAUGAACAAAUAAAAUUAUGGCCGGCCGUCAAAAUUUACCUCUGUUGUCCAACUCUUGUAACUCUAUUUUUUUAAAAAAAAACUAUAAUUGAUUUCACUUGCAUGGUACAAUAGUCAACGACAAGAAAGAGAGAGAAAAACUAAUUAAAAAUAAUGAUUGUAGUAUUUUUUUACUCUCUUAUUUUUAGUAAAAUAAUUAAAAAAUGAAUAACUAAAGUCCUAAAACAUUAAUUUUUAAUCAAAUAAACAUCAGUAAAAAUUAUUUUUUGAGUUUAAUUUUUGUUAAAUUGCUAGUCAUUUUCAAUUUGAACAUUUUUUUUUUUUUUUUGAGAAAAAGAUAGCAAGCUACCUGCUUCAUUCAUAAAGUGAGAUGAAUUAAACGUACAGGAUGGAAGCAACUACGGCCUCCGUAGACGAAAAAGGUGAAAACAGGGUUAGAUGCAAUAAAAAGAAAUAAAAGAUAAAAGAGGAAAGGUAAGUGAAAAGCGGAGGGAGUUGGUCAAUUGAGUAUUCCCCAGUCACUUAUUAAUCUGUUGAUGCGUUCAAAUGACCGAACUGCAUUGGGGGAUGCGGCCCGAAAGAUUACCAAGUUUCUAUUUGUCCAGACAACUCACCAGAUUGCAACCAGAUGGAUUAAACCUUUGGAUUUCUUUGCAGCGUCAGUGGUUCCAGAUACAUUGACCCAAAGCGGUUGAACAUUACUUACGAACUAAUCUGAACAUUACUUACGAGCUAACAAAAAGGGGGUUGAGGUGUCUAUUCUUGCGCGUUAAUCAAUAGGGGUUAGUUCUUUUCUCUGAGGAUGGACUUGUACGAAGAUGGAGAAAGGUGGCCCGCUUAGACAAAGGAAAAGAAUUAUUGCUUAGUCCUGAUUUAUGAAUUGGGACCAGUAGUUUUCAAGUCGUUGAAAUAGCUAUUUAUUAAAAAUUUGCUUUGCUUAGAAAAAACAAAGAUUAAUAUUCUCUUUGCAAUCGAAUCGCCUUAAUACAUUCCGUAUGAUGCUUUUAAUUUCGUCAUUCAAUUCUUUUAUUAUUAAAAAUAAAUAUUAAACUAAAAUCUACAUUAAAAGAAAAAAAAAAUCUAAAGAUGUGCCAGCAUGCGCUGUGGACUAGCUACGUGAUGAAUCAUGUAACAAUUUCUCGUGAUUACGAAGUUAAAUUAAUUUUCACAUAAACUAGUUAAUAGAGGAGUAAAUCAGCAAAUACAAGGAUCUAAUAGCUCCUAAUUUUGAGGAUAAUAGUAAUUUUUUUAAGGAAACAUGCUCACAGACGUUUGACCUUACAAAUUUUCUGCUCAGAAAAUUAACUAGUAUUUAUAUCUGCAAAAAAAAAAAAAAAAAAAAAAAAAAAAAAAAAAAACACAAUAGAAAACGAUAAUAGAAAACGAUACAAAGCAAGAGAGAGAGAGAGAGAGAGAAAAUCUAAUUUUAUUGCUGGAGGAAAGAACAAAAAAGAAAUAUUUUAAAUACUUCAAAAUAUUAUUUUUAUAAAUUAUUAUAUAUUUAAUAAAAAUAUUGUGCAGAUCAUAACAUAACAUAUUAAUAAUAUAUAGAAACACGGUGCAGAGGAUUAAGAGUGAGUGACGAAGACAUCGUACUGGACGACGGUGUAACCGGUGGUUUGGUCGAAGGUGUGCGUCCGCGCCUGCGCGUAGCCACGGGCGAGCCUGAAGAGGCCGCUGCCGCCGACCACGGCCAUCUCGCGCACCUGCGAGAAGACGUCAUUGCGGCCCAUGAUGACGAUGGUGCUGUUGGCGUAGUCGCCCUGCGCGAAGACGAAGGUCAUGGCCAUGAGGAGGCCGACGCUGUCCUUGCCCGCGAAGGAGUAGAGCCCCUGGGCGUGGCCCACCAAGGGGGACGACAGGUUCGGCCCCACCGUGAGCGGGUCGUCGAUCAUGACGAUGGUGCCGAAGCUCGUCGUCGAGUUCUUCUCUGAGGGCGCCUGCGCCACACGCACCGACGUCGGGCUCGGCCCGCUCACGAUGUCGUGCCAGAAGAACUGGAAGUGGCUCUGCGUCUCGUAGGCCGCCUUUUCGACGCGCUUCUCGCUCCGCAGGAAGCUGCUCAUCUGCUCUUCGGAGUGCGCCCAGCACGAAGAGGAGGAGAAGAAGAAGAAGAGGAGAAAGGUGGUGAGAAUGGGGAAGAGCUUGGCCAUGGUGGGGGAGAGUGGGAGUAAAGGGUAAUGCAAAGAAUGGGGUAUUGGGGUUAGCUAGGGAGGCGUUUAUAAUAGUUUUAAGGAAAGAGAAAUGAUUGAGUAAGCAAUCGGACCGCUUUUGCGCGCCAUUCAAAAGGUGGUAACCUGUCAUUACCUACCGCUUUAUUAUACGGAAACGCAGAGUUCGAUCUAAUUUUGUUCCAUACUUAACGUAGACUCGACUUAGCACCAAAUUUUCACUCCACAUAGCACACUACACUAUAAUUGUGAAAAAAAUACUAUAUACAUCAGUUUCCACACAUACAGAGCUCACCACAAUAAUCGGGUUCUUCGCACGAUCUACAUUGUACGUGUCAUAUAAAACAACACUCCUAUAAAGUAUCCCUCCCUCGCAUGCACGGAUGCACCCACCCACGCACCUAGUGCAUCCAAAAACACUCCACUUAAAACAACUCUUCAAACCCUGAGUAUGAUGGACCACCAGAGCUCACCGUCCUACAUCACGGCUGUUAAUUUCCUCAUUUAUUCAUUGCGUAGUACAUAGGCUACAAGGCAUCAUAAAUUUUAGUAUAAAUAGAUUUCUAUUUUUAUUCAAAUUUAAAUUCUUUUCGAUUUAUUUAUUAUAAAUUUGAACUUUUCAUUCUAAUUUGAAUAGAAUUUGCUAUGCGUUUAAUAAAUCAAACCCUAAUAUUUAGGUUGAUAAAUAAGAAAAAUUAUUGCCUAGACACUAUGUAUAAAUUGAAACAAGUGGUUUUCAAACAGUUGAAACAACUACAACUAUUUAUUGGACCCCCGGGAUGUUAGCUAGGAUGAAACAAUAAGACCGCGCGCGUGCACACGCACGUGCGAGCCUAGAAAGCCAACUUUACCCCACCGAAGGCAUCUUCCACCUAAAACUAUAAAACUCGCAACAUUUCACGUCCCGGGCAUGCACCUAACAAAAUUAAAUUGUGCUUUGAUAUCAACUGCUCCCAAAAAUCUACAAGCUUAUGUUCUGGUGCCAAUCUCUUUUGAGUAUCACUUCGGUGGUUCGACAAUCCUGAGCUUUAAUUUCAGAUGUUGAGAAUCCACAAGUCACUCCGACUCCAAUUAUUAUAAAUUCGGUAUUCAUUCUGAUACUGAUUGUAAAAAUUCAGCAACAUAAAUACUCAAUUAGAUUUUUACCAUAAAUCUAUCUCUUUAACGAAAGAUUGACACAACUGUAAAAAAAAUAAAUAAAUAAAUAUAGAUUAUGUAAGAUUCACUAAUCAAUAAAAAUAUGACAUCCGACUUUUUUUUAUAGAGUAGUUUCUGCUCGAUCCCUCUUUCUGAAUCUCUGAUCUCCAUCUUUUCUCAUCUUCUAUCAUACAAGAAGACUUACUCUUUCUCUUUCUUGCACGCGCUUGCGCACGCGGUGCACCCAAAGAAACUCUACUGGGAACAGCUCUCCGGAGUGUAGUACAGACCAUCAGAGCUCAACCCUUGGCGUGCGGACUAAGGAUGCCAAUGGCCUUGGUACGAGCUUUUGAAAUUUUAAUAGAAUCCGUGUUCGAACCCAGCGGGCUUAGCUAGUUUUUAACAAGUCUGAGUUUGGCCUACGGGUGUAAAAAUUAAAAAUUCCAUGAUGUGUUUGGAUAUGAUUUUUAUCUGUACCCGAAUCCAAAUUAAUUUUAUAUUUUAAAAUAUUUAAAAUUUUAAUUUGUAAUUUUAAAAUUCAUAUUUAACUAUGAUAGGUUUAAAAUUUCGGUAAAGGAAAAUAACCGCUUUUGGGUUGGAAUUCUUGGGAUCAGUUUCCGGUUAAUUUUGAUUUUUUUUUUAAGAUAGGUUUUGAUUAUGAAAUUUCAAAUUCGACAAAUUUAGAUUCAGAUAGUCAGAUUUUGGUUCGGUUUUUAAAAAACCUGCUCCGAAUCGAGCGAGUUGACAUCUCUAGUAUGGAUUCCACAGUAAUAAGUUGUGCUCUGUCAAUAGUCCAUAUGUGCAUUAUAUAAUGCAUGGACUGCAAUAUAUCUCAAAUGUCAGUAUAAUUAGAUUUCGAUUUUAAUUUAAAGUCAAAUCUUACUCGAUCAAUUUAUUUAUUAUAAAUUUAAAUUUUCAUUCUAAUCUAAUUAGAAUUUAAAUCUAACCUAAUCAUAAUGCUUACGUUGUUUUUUUUUUUUUUUACUUUUUUUGAGAUGAAUGGAAGAUGCAAAACAUUCCAACUUGCUUCAUCAAUUAGGCCAAUGAACAAGCCAAGAAAAAGUGAUUCCUUCACAUACAGAAAUGACAAAUAAUAAAAAAAGAAAGCAGAGAUCUACAAGUGAGAGUUGAGAACUAAAUGCCUCUAGUUCUGCAGUAGGCAUCUUUCUUAUCCAAUCUUUUCAUAUUGUAACUAUCACUUUUGCUACAUUACGAUUGCAUCUUGUGUUAGAAAAUUGGAUUGUUUCUUAAUUUCUAGCCAUAUUCUGUACCAUAUUGCGCUUCGAAGAAGAUCACACCCACUUUAUAAAUGUUUCACGAUUGAUGUUGUUCUUCCUCUAUUCUGUCCAAGCAUCUAACAACUAUCUGGCAAGCAUCUAGCUAACACUUAGGCUGAUCAAAGAAAGAAAAUUACUGAUUAUCGCUGAUUUAUAACUUGAGACAAGUACAUUUCAAAUUGUUUUUUUUUUUUUAAGAGCUAGGUAACACACUACCCAUUUCGUUUAUUUCAUUUAGAAAUAAGCUUAGCUGAAAAUGUGAAUCAAUUAGGAUUCGAACUUGGAAUCUCAGUUACCAACCACCAAAUCCUUUGCCACUUGCACUAGAGACGGUGUAAUCUAGUUAAUCCAACACGUUUUUUCAAAGUAUCAAUUUUUUUUUUCACUUUUUAAAAUAAUUGAGAUUUAAAAUGUUAAAGCAAACGACGUGCCAGCACGCGUUGCAAGACUACGUGAUGCAUCGUGCAAUAAUUUCUCCCAAUCACGAAGUAAACUAAUUAAUCUUCGGAUCACGCGAUUCACGUGGUAGACAGAAUGCAAGCAAUAAGUUUAUUGAGGCUUAUAAUUCGCGCGUGACAAUUGGAUGCAAUAUAUGGCAAAAUUUUUAAAAAUAAGUCAACCAUCACAAGGCUCUAAUAACUCCUACUUUCGAGAAAAAUAAUGUGCUUUGGACAAUUGCCCAUAAAUUCAUUAAUCUUAAAAAUUUUCUCAAGCGCAAUGCUACAUCCACAACUACCCUUUGAUUGUAAUUUUAUAAUCCAUCUAUUCAUUGACUAAUUUUUUUAUCACUAAUUAUAUUACUUUUUAAUACUAAAAUAGAAAAGAUUGUAUAAAUUCUACAAAGAGAAUUUUAAGUUUUGAAUUAAUGAUUGUAAUCUCACAACCCUUUCUAAAUUGCGGGCUUAGAAUUUUUCUUUUCUAAUGUAUAUAUCACCCGCUAAACUUUGAAAGAAAAUGCAAAUAGAAAAGUGGAAAGAAAAAAAAAUGGCCAAUUUGCAUAAAAAAUCCACUUAUUUUGGGCUUUUGCAAAACCGGGCCACUUUUUUUGUUCUUGCAGAUUCGGUCCACUUUUUCAGCAAACUGACCAAAAUACCCUUUUUACUUUUUCUCUUUACUCUUUCUCUCUCCUCUUCGUUUCUCUCGUUCUUUUUUUUUCUCGCCGGCAGAGCGGAGGCGGAAACGGUCCGUCUCGCCUCUCACCCUCAUUCUCUAGCCCUCGCCCUCGCCCUCGCCCUUACCCUCGUCCACGCACCCCCAACCUUCCUCGCCUCCAACCCCGCCAAGGCCGCGCCACGACUUCUUUUUUUUUUUGCUUUUUUCUUUUCUUUUCUUCUCCGACUCUUCUCCACCGUCUCCGACGACGACGCCUCUCUCGUCCUUCUCGUCCUUCCCCGCCUUUCUCAUCUCUCCCUCUCCCUCAUUCUCUGCCGCCUCCGACGACGAUGCAUCUUCGCUGGCGCCGACGUCGACACCGUGGAGGUCACUGCGGCGCUACAGGCUCGGAGCGGGGGUCCUUACCGGUGUCGUCGCCGGCACCGUGGCUGUUGGCAGAGAAGGUGACAAAAAAAAUUAUAGAAAAAACAGAAAAAAAAAAUAAAGAUAAAAAAUUAGAUAAAAAGAAAGAUGAACAUCAAAUUGUAUCGUUAACUGUAAAAAAAAUUAUAAAUUGCAUUAUUUAAGAUGUAAAACUGCAGCUUUAAGAUGAAAACUACACUCUUUAAACGAAAAUUACACUCUUUGAUAAAUAUUUACACUGUUUCCCUUCUUGUUACACUUUUUCAGAUGUAAACUGCAUCAAUUAAUAUGAAAGUUACACUCUUUAAACAAAAGUUGCACUGUUUCUCCUCUUGUUGCACCAUUUUUUCUCUUAUUAUACUAUUUUUUAUCUUAAACUGCACCAUUUUAAGAGAUAUUUAUACUGUUUCUUCUCUUGUUGCACCAUUUCUGUGUAAAUAAGAGGAGAAAUAGUGCAACAAGAGGAGAAACAGUGCAAGAAGAGAAGAAACUGCACUGUUUUAAGAGAUAUAUAUACUGUUUCUCCUCUUGUUGCACCAUUUCUGUGUAAAUAAGAGGGGAAAUAGUGCAACAAGAGGAGAAACUGCACUAUUUUAAGAGAUAUAUCUACUGUUUUUUCUCUUGUUGCACUGUUUCUCCUCUUGUUGCACCAUUUCUGUGUAAACAAUAGAAGAAAUAGUGCAACAAGAGGAGAAACAAUGCAAUAAGAGGAGAAACUGCACCCUUUUAAGAGAUAUUUAUACUGUUUCUCCUCUCGUUGCACCAUUUUUGUGUAAAUAAGAGGAGAAAUAGUGAAACAACAGGAGAAACAGUGCAACAAGAGGAGAAACAGUAUAAAUAUCACUUAAAAGGAUGCAGUUUAAGAUAAAAAAUAGUAUAAUUUUCAUUCAAAGAGUAUAAUUUUUAUCUUAAACCAGCAGUUUACAUCUUAAAUAGUGUAACUUAUAAUUUUUUUUAUAAUUAACGAUAUAAUUUCAUCUUCAUCCUUCUUUUUAUAUAAUUUUUUAUCUUUAUUUUUUUUUUCUGUUUUUUCUAUAAAUUUUUUGUCACCUUCUCUGCCAACAGCUACGGCGCCGGUGACGGCACCGGUGACAACGCCGCUAAGGACCCCCCGCUCCGAAGCUGUAGCGCCGCAGUGACCUCUACGGUGUCGACGUCGGCGCCGGCGAAGAUAAAUCGUCGUCGGAGGCGGCAGAAAAUGAGGGAGAGGGAGAGAUGAGAAGGGCGGGGAAGGGCGAGAGGCGUCGUCGUCGGAGACGGUGGAGAAGAGUCGGAGAAGAAAAGAAAAGAAAAAAGCAAAAAAAAAAGUCGCGGCGUGGCCUUAACGGGGUUGGAGGCGAGGAAGGUGGGGGGUGCAUGGACGAGGGCAAGGGCGAGGGCGAGAGAAUGAGGGUGAGAGGCGAGACGGACCGUUUCCGCCUCCGCUCCGCCUCCGCUCUGCCGGCGAGAAAAAAAAAAAAGAACGAGAGAAACGAAGCAGAGAGAGAAAGAGGAAAGAGAAAAAGUAAAAAGGGUAUUUUGGUCAGUUUGCUGAAAAAGCGGACCGAAUCUGCAAAAAUGAAAAAGGUGGCCUGAUUUUGCAAAAGUCCAAAAUAAGUGGAUUUUUUAUGCAAAUUGGCCUUAAAAUUACAAUUUAAAUUUUAAUUUGAAUCCAUAAAUUUAAUUUAAGUUUGAAAUAAAAUUUGAAUAAAACUUUAUAUAAAUUAAAAUUUAAUUUAAAUUCAAAUUCAUAAGUUAGAUUCAAAAUACUUGAUUAAAUUUUAAAUUUUAAUUUUAAGUUCAAAUUAAAAUUUAAAAUAAUAUAUUUAAUUUUUAAAUUUUAACUCAUAUUUUAAUUAAAAAAGUUUGAAAAAAUAAAUUUAAUCCGAAUAAAUAUCCAUGCCGUCCGAAUUCAACUUCCAAUCCGGCCUCCUAGGCCGGAUUGAAAAAAGAGAUGAUUGGGGAAUUCCCAUUCCACUCGGAAAUCGAAAUCGGAAUAGGACUUCCGCGUACCAAACACCCACAAACGAAUUUACCCAUUCCGAUUCUUGAGUGAAAAUGAAGCGAACUAAACACGCCCUUAUUGGAAUUUCAUAAACUCUUGGAUGAUCAAGUUGUAAGAUUUAUAUGUCUUAUCUUGAUGUACAAAUAGCAUUUGCCAUGAUCUAUAUAAUAAAAUUAAAAAAUAAAAUGAGAUAUUUAUGAAGUCAUACUAAAUUUUACUAGUUUAAUUAGUAGUUAAUCUUUAACCCACUAAUAUAUCCUCGUUUUUAAAAUGGCUAAAAUAUAAAAAAAAUUCUUCAAAAAUUAUAUCAACCUUUUGCUUCCUCUCUGGAUUUUAAAAAUCUAUAUUUUACACUCUUAAAAUUUAGAAAUAUUUUCAGAAGAUUAUGGCCUUAAAUAAUGGAGAAGGCGAAAUAAUCAAAUUAUUUUCACUGGUUCUAUAAGAAAAAAAUAAUUUUUAAAAUUUUUUUUUGUUAGGUUAAAAUAUUUUUAAUAUAAAUUAUAUGAAAUGAACGAAAUGGUGAUGGAAUGCGUGAGUUAGAUAAAUUAAAUUAAAAUUUUAAAUAAAUAUAAUAUAAAUUUUAAAAAAUUAGAAUAAGUAGAUAUUUACGGAGAAUAUACUAUAUUUUAGCUUUUUAUUAAGUCAAUUGCAUACAGGUCCCCGCGAACGUAAUGAAUUAUAGAUAUAUCCAUGUAAAGUUCAACUUUCAUAAAUUAUCCUGCAAAAGUUCUAAUAUUUUCAGAUAUGUCCUUGCCGUUAGAAUUUGUUAGAAAAGUUUAGUUAACCAUAGGUUAAAUACUUUACUCGGGUUAAUUUUUGACAUUUUUAUCCCUUUUAUAUUAUACUGUUAUAAUUUUUGUAGGAACGUAUUUGUAUGGCAAAAUUGAAAAUAUAAACAGUUUUCUAACGGUUCUCUAAUGGUAACAAAUCAGAGGGACAUAUCUGAAAAAUAUCAAGACUUUUGCAGGAUUAAUUUAUGAAAGUUGAAUUUUAUAAAGAUGUAUCUGUAAUUUACUAUGUUUGCGGGAUUUGGAUGCAAUNAGCAUAUCCUGCAUGUGUCUCUUGAACCUAUCCCAUCUACCAUUACAGGGAGGGAAACAAAAAAAAAAAAAAAAAACUCAAAUAAAAAUAAUAUAUUUUAUUUGUAUAAAAUUAUUAUUGUAUUAAUGAACAUAGAAACGUCCAUCGUAUACGAAUAUCAACACAUCAAUAAUAUAUAAAAACUCCAGCAACAGUAAGAUAGGAGAUCAUGCAAAUGGAUUAAGAGUGCGUGACAAAGACGUCGUAUUGGACGAUGGCGUCGCCGGUGUUGUUGUCGAGGGUGUGCGUCCGCGCCUGCGCGUACCCAGUAGCGUGCCUAAAGGGGCCGCUGCCGCCGACCACGGCCAUCUCCCUGACCUCGGAGACGACGUCGUUGCGGCCCAUGAUGACGAUGGUGUUGUUGGUGUACUUGCCCUGCGUGAACACGAACGUCAUGGCCAUGAGGAGACCGAAGCUGUCCUUCCCCGAGAAGGCGUAGAACCCCUGCGCCCGGCCCACCAGCUCGGUGGACAGCUCCGGCCCGACCGUGAGCGGGUCGUCGAUCAUGACGAUGGUCCCGAAGAACGUGGUCGAGUUCUUCUCCGACGGCGCCUGCGCCACCCGCACGGAGGUCGGGCUCGGCCCGCUCACGAUGUCGUGCCAGAAGAACCGGAAGUGGCUCUCCGUCUCGUAAACCGGCUUUUUGACGCGCUUCUCGCCCAGCACGAAGCUGCUUUGCUCUUCGGAAUAGGCCCAGGAGGAGGACGAGAGGAGGAGGAGGAAGAAGAUAAUGGUGGUGAGAAUGGAGAAGAGCUCGGCCAUGGCGGAAGAGAGCGAUGGAAAUGGAGAAGGGAUGGUUCUAUAACUUUUCUAUGCUGAUGUAUGAUGGGGUGUGCUAUAUAUAUAGGGAGAGAAAUUGCUUGCCGAGUCGACGAGUCAGUAGAGCCGCUUUGUUUUUGGGAGGCAUCGGUUGGUGGGGUGGGUACGGACUCUGCUUUUAUUUUUGUCAUCGGCAGUUUUUAAGUACAUCUCGAGGUCGGCGUGGACUUUGUGAACAUCCAUAAAAAAUAAUAAAAAAGAAUAAUAAUAAUAAGUAAGAGUGGGAACUGCUCAACAUGUAACUAAUAAUCUCGCCUUGAAAUCAUCUUCACUAAAUUUUUAUUUCACACUUUAGCUGAUUUAAUUGAUCUUGGCAAUGAAAUAGGAUAAUGCGUUUUAGUUAAAAAUAUGGCAGUGAAUCGUAGUUACUAAUUGUAGAGUUAGUAAUUAAUGGACGUGACUUCAUUUAGUUUGGUUUGAAGAGGUCAUCAAACUACUAUAGCAAAAUGAUUAAAUAAAGUUAUAUUUAAAGAUUUGUUAGUUAUCACGCCUACAAUUUUUUUCUAUUAUUAAAAGCUUUUAUUAAAAUUGAAAAUUUCCUCUAUAGAUAGUAAAAUAAACAAUUAAUUUGCUUGGCUCAACUAAUCGUUCUAUAUGUUUUUUCUUUUCGGUCUCUCUAAAUAUGGUGAUGAGUAUAUGAUUAUUUUUUUGGGUUUAACAGAGAAGCGGUAGUUAGUGUAUCGCGUAUAAUAAAAAGUAGACGGGGUCAAUACGGCAAUUUUCUAUAGUGGAGUAUGCUGUAUGCAGUGGGGUCAAAAGAAGUUAGAAAAAGCAAAAAACGUACAGAGUUCACAUGGCUCUGCUGUCCGGAGAAAACAAAUUAAAGCAGUUGCAAAUAUUCAUUCUCCUCGUCAGAAAUGCGUAGCCUGCACGUCGUAUUGGACCAUGGCGCCUCCGGUGUUGGAGAAAGUUACGACUGUAACAUUUAUGCGAGACCAUCAAUGAUCACGCAAUCAUAUACUUUUUUUUAAAUAUAUAAAAAAUAUAUUUUUUUAACAAUUACGAUGAAAUUGAUGAAUUCAAAGAAAAAAAAAAUCUGAUUAAUUCAGAAUGUUAUAGAGCAAUAUAACUAACGUAUUCUAAAUUUUUUUUUUUUUUUGUGUUUAGGGCUGCUGCACAGUAUGGAGCUGUCGCAUCCGUGCCGACCCGAUCCGGCCCGAACUUUAGGGCUGUACUGGGCCUCUCCCCUUCGCCCGACGACUCAAUACGACACGGUUAGCAACGGACACGAACCAUGCCGGGCGGAGGAGAGGUCUGUCGCCCAGCACAGCGUGGCUCACUUGGGCCAUGCCAAUUGGGCCAGCACGAUCCGAACCCAAGAGCCCAAGGCAACUUGCUUUGGGUCUUGGGAUCCGAGCUACUGCGUCUCCCUAGGAGGCAGCAGCUCUUCUGAUUUAUAAAUUGAGACAAACAUCUAGAUUACAAAUUGCGGAGAUAACUAUAUGUUUAUUUAAAAAGUUUACUCACUAAAAAUACAAAGAAUCUCAUUGCUAUCGAUAUUUUCGCCCACAUAUAUAUUGUGGACUCAUGUUGAUGCACCGUCUUGUACUUUGCCACAACGCUUGUCUAUAAUCUAGUUAUCCAAUACUUUUUUAAAAAAAUAUCAACUUUUUUUUUUCACUUUUUUAAAGAAUUGAGAUUAAAAUGUAAAAGCAAACGAGAUGCGAGCACGCCUUGCAAGAGUACGUGAUGCAUCGUCCAAUAAUUUCUCCCAAUUACAAAGUCAAAUAAUUAAUCUUCCCACCACGCGAUUCACGUGGCAAAUCGAAUGCAAGCAAUAAGUUUAUUGAGGCUAUAAUUCGCGCGUGAAAUGUAGAUGCCCUUUAUGGGAAAAAAAAAAUAAAAUAAGUAAACCAUCACAAGGCUCUUAUAGCUCCUAUUUUCGAGAAAAAUAAUGUUUUUUUAGACAAUUUCCCAUAAGUUCUUUUAUCUUAAAAAUUUUUUCAAGCGCAAUGCUACAUCCAUAACUACCCUUUGAUUGUAAUUUUAUAAUUUAUCAUUUUUUUAAUACUAAAAUUAGAAGAGAUUGUAUAAAUUCUAGAAAGAGAAUUAUAAGUUUUGAAUUGAUGAUUGUAAUCUUACAAUCCUUCUUAAACUGUGGACUUAGAAUUUUUCUUUUCUAAUGUAUAUAUCAUCCGAAAAACUUUGAAAGAAAAUACUGUAGGAAACUGCAUGGAUUGUCAGUCAUUCGAUCGCUACCAAUACAAAUACGCAAAAAUAGAAAAAAUCAAACGAUAAAAUAAAUAAAAUACAGCAAAAAAGAGCAAAAUUUAUGUGGUUCGGCAAUUGACUAUAUCUACGAAAAAAGCGAGAGAGAUAUAUUCCACUAUAUAAAGAAACAAAAAUUCAAACUUAUUCCUUCUAUCUUCUUCAGAUAAAAAAAUUAAGAACCUUAUGAUGGAUCCUAUCUUUCUCUUGUUUCAAUGAAAAUUUUAAAAAUUACUGAAAAAAGUUUUUCGUAAAACUGAGAAAAUUAAAUUCGAAAAUAUCAAAAACUCUGAUCAAAUUCUUUAUAUCGUUGCUUCGAUGAAUCACCACCUCUCAGCCAAUUGGUCGAGCAUGCAACUGUGCUCCGCUGCCAGUUCCGAUCCAAACGUCGCAUGCGCCUCUCUCUUGCCGUCGUAGGCCAUCCGAUCGACGUCCUGAACGCUAAUUAAUUUUCUCACAUACGAACGCACACAGUACAUUCACAACGGCAUGCAUAUACAUAUAUAGAUGCAUUAGCUGGUCAACAAGUCAACUACUAUUCACCGAAUAUUAAUUAGACUCAACCUCGUAUGGAUAAACAUGUAUCUUGCACCAAUAAAAAUCAACUUCAAGAUCUAUUGAUACAUACCAUAGAUCUAGUCUAUACCAUCUUUCAUGAAUCAACUUAAUGGAUUAAUUAAUUUGACUCAAUCUUAGUUAAAAAAAAAAAAACAUAUUCUUAGCAAAUACAUGUAGAAAAAAAAGAAAAAAAAAAUCCAAAGCAAAAGAGUGAGGCCGAGGAUAUAAUUUCAUUGUUGGAGAGAGAGAAAAAAAAUUUCAAAUAAAAAAUAUAUAUUAUGUCAGUGAAGACAUACAUAUGUAUCAUAUAUGAAAGACAACACAUCGAUAAUAUAUAAGUACUGCAACAUGCAAGGUUAGUAUACCAUGCAUGCAAAUGGAUCAAGAGUGCGUGACAAAGACAUCGUAUUGGACAAUGGCGUCGUGAGUGUUGUUGUCAUGGGAGUGUGUCCGCGCCUGCGCGUACCCAGUAGCGUGCCGGAAGGGGCCGCUGCCGCCGACCACGGCCAUCUCCCUGACCUCGGAGAAGAUGUCGUCACGGCCCAUGACGACGACGGUGCUGUUGGUGUACUCCCCCUGCGUGAACACGAACGUCAUGGCCAUGAGGAGGCCGAAGCUGUCCUUCCCCGAGAAGGCGUAGAACCCCUGCGCCCGGCCCACCAGCUCGGUGGACAGCUCCGGCCCGACCGUGAGCGGGUCGUCGAUCAUGACGAUGGUCCCGAAGAACGUGGUCGAGUUCUUCUCCGACGGCGCCUGCGCCACCCGCACGGAGGUCGGGCUCGGCCCGCUCACGAUGUCGUGCCAGAAGAACCGGAAGUGGCUCUGCGUCUCGUAAACCGGCUUUUUGACGCGCUUCUCGCCCAACACGAAGCUGCUUUGCUCUUCGGAGUAGGCCCAGGAGGAGGCCGAGAGGAGGGGGAGGAGGAGAAGGGUGGUGAGAAUGGAGAAGAGCUUGUCCAUGGUGGAAGAGAGAUGGAAAUGGAGAUGGGAUUGCUUGCUUUUGUCUUAUCUUUUGCAAUAAAAAAUAUCGCAGCAUAUCGUAGUUACCCGUCAUGUAAGGUUAGUAAUUAAUGGACAUAACUUCAUUUAGUUUGGUUUGAAGAGACGAUCAAACUACUACAGCAAAAUGAUUAAAUAAAUCUGCAUUUAAGAUUUGUUAGUUGUCACGUUUGUAAUUUUUUUUCUAUUAGUAAAACUUUUUAUUAAAAUUGAGAAUUUACUCUAUAGAUAGUAAAUUGAACAAUUUAUUUGCUUCGCUCAACUUAUCUUUCUAUAUUUUUUGUUUUCGGUCUCUCUAAAUGUUGUGAUGAGUAUAUGAUUUUUUUGGGUACAACGUUGAAAGAGUAGACGGGGUCAAUAGGGCAAUUUUCUAUGGUGGAGUAUGCAGUAGGCAAGUUGGGGUUGAAAAAAAGUUAGAAAAAACAAAAACGUACGGAGUGCGCAUGGCUCUACUGUUCGGAGAAAACAAAUUAAAGCGGUUGCAAAUAUUUCCCUUGUCAAUAAUGCCUAGCAUGCACGUUGUAUUGGACCACGACGUCCCGGUGUUGGAGAAAGUUAUGAUUGUAACAUUUGUAUCAGGUCAUCAAUGAUCACUGAAUUAUAUUUAUUUAAAAAAUUAAUAAUAAAAAUAUUUUUUUAAUAAUUAUGAUAGAAUAGUUGAAUUUAAAAAAAAAAAAAUCUGGUUAAUUGAAGAUGCUAUAUUAGCAAUAUAACCGGCACAUUCUUUUCUCCUUUUUUUUUUCAUGGCUAAGGCUAGGCUGCAGCUUAGUACGAAUCUAUAGUACCCAAACCGCCCGGCCUGGUUCAAACUUUAGGGCUGUGCUCGGCCUCUCCCCGUGGGCCCAACGGCUCGGCCUGGCACAACCCUAACCGUGCCGGGCGGAGAAAAGGCUCAUUGGCCAGGCACACAUCGCUUGCUUGGGUCAUACCAGUCGUGCCAGCACGGUCCAAACCCCAUGAUCCAAGGCAAGUUACUUUGGGAUCUGAGCUCCUGGGGCGAAGGACCAAGGAAUUCUCCUUCACAGACCUUGGGGGAGCAAUUUUGGUCCAAUGGACCAAACAAUUUUGGUGCAUUGGACCAAAAACUCUCUUUAUUCUUUUUUUUCAAAUUUUUUUUUAAUUUAAAUAUUUAUUAUUUUAUAAAUAUUUUUAUAAUUUUUAAAAAAUUUUAAUCAAAAUAUUAAUUUCGAUAGAAAUAAUUUAUUAUUUAUAUUUUAAAUUUUACAUUUUUAAAAAAAUAUAUAUAAAUCUUAUGGGGUCGGCCGAAGCAGGGCCCAUACCUUUCGGGCCUAAGGGCCGUGCUGGGCCAGAAGCUGGUAGCUCCGACCUGCCGAAAUUCGGAACCAGAUUCUGCAGAGAUAAUGCGGACCGUGCAGGUCUAGCACGACGCACAUUACACUCCUAACCGUGUUAGGGUUGAAUGAGUAGGUUCGCGCAUGUGCGCGCUCACGUGCAACGCUGAAAAGCCCAUUUCCCGGACUGUAGGGUCUGGCAGGGCCCACAUUGCAACCCUACCAAUAUUCGGGGCUGUUUGGUUGUACGCAUUUGCAACUGCAGUACAGUUGCAAAUGCGUGCAGCCACAAUUCCUUUGUUUGGUUUAGUAUAGUUGAGUUCAACUGCUGCAGUUCCAACUGCACAAGAAGGCCUAAAUGCUGCAGUUGGAACUACAUCCAAAUUGGUCGUAGUUCCAACUACAGUAAUUGGUCAGAGAUAGGAUCACCCACAAAUUAAUAAUAAUAAAUAAAUAAAUAAAUAGCUAAAUAAAUAAAUAAUAUAUGUAUAUAGGUAAAUAAAAAUACUUAUAAAUAAACUCAUACUAAUAAAAUUUUUUAGACAAUACAAGCUUUGUGCAAAAAAUUAAUUUUUUUAAAUUUAUUUUAUUUAAAAUAUAAAUAUAGUUUUUUUUUCUAAAUUUUUAUAGAAUGUGAUCGUGUAUGUUAAUUUAAUAAGUUUUAAUUAAUUAUAAUUAUUAAAAUUGAUAAAAAAAAAUGAGAGAAUCGCUUAAAUUUUUAAAGUUUGAUUUACAUAUUAAAAUUAAAUAAAUUAAAAUUUUAAAUGUGUCGAUUAAUAAGUUGAAGAAUAUUAUAUAUAUCUACUUAUUUAUUUAUAAAUAGUAAAUUUAAAUAAUUAAUAAAUUUAUAUAAUUAUUUUAUGUUUAGUGAAGGUAACCUCACCACUCUAUCUGAAGAGAUGACAAAAUUCAUAAAUAUAACUAUCAGCUUCAUAUUACCGAUCAGAAAAAAUGUAACUGCAGCAGUUGCAACUGCGUAAAAUCAAACAGACUAGGUGUAGUUAUAACUGUAGUAUUUGCAACUGCAUGUAUUUCCAACUACACUGUUUCUGCAACUACAUCCAACCAAACGGCCCUUUAGGGUUGCAUGAGUGCGUUCGUGCACGUCUAGACCCACACGCGAGCCUAAAAGGCCUACUUUCCCCGAUUGUGGGCAUCUUCCUCACCUCCGCGGCAUAGUUGCGGCCCGACCACGGUGCGGUUGGUGGAGUUGGAGACAUUGGGUUAAUUUCGUGGCUAACCGUAAAACACAUGCAUGAAGAUACUGCUUCAUUAUAAUAAAAAUUGCUCCUAAGUCCCUAAUUAAACCCAAGUUGCUAACAUCAUUAGUAAUUAGGGGUAUUAAGAACACAACCCCAAAUGAAAAAAAAUCCAAAAUGAUUCGGAGCUCUGCUACUCGAUCGGAUGCUCAAAAAAAAAUAGGGAUGAAGAACUCAGCAAUUAUCGUAUGAAAUGGAAAGGUAGUGGCUGAUGUGGUUUAGAUUAAUGCCGAUACAAUAAUACUCCCUUGGUGAACACGGUACUAAUAAUUAUUCAAUAAAAAAGAUCAAACCCCGCAUAAUUAAGUUCGACUGGUGUUGCAGGUUGAUGUAAAUGCCAUUAUGAGCGCUGCUAUGUCACUCGGUAGCUGCGUGAAAAGAAAGGCUUAUACUUAGUUCGCACUCCAAUUUUUAAGAUGAAUUAUUAUAUCUGUUAUUUCUAAGGUCCAGUGUUCAAUUCAUUAUUUAAUUUUUAGAAAAGAAAGAGAUCAAUCCUUGACUCCUGGGAUUUGCAUAUACAUAUUUACAAGGUAUGAAAGAGAUUCUGAAUUAAAAAGCCUGUAGAUAAAUUAAGAAAAAGAAUUUCAAAUUUUUUUUUUUUUUUUGACACUUGUAGCAUCACUUGAUAGAUUGUCCUUUGCUUCGCCAUUCGUUUUCGCAUCCCCUUAAUUAUUUACAUGUAUCAUCAAAAUUUUCAAAACAAAAUCUGGUGGGCCAUACCGAGCAUAUUUUUACAGUAAAAAACAUCAAAUCCUAAAACAAUCCCCACCGUCCAUCACAAAAGAAUUCACAAGGCGUUUGACCCAAGCGAGGUUUCUAAUAAAAGCCCUUCUCCAUCCCAAACCGGCCUAUAAAAUCUAUGAUUUUCCAAUUUAAAUUUUAAUAAAAUAUGGAUCGUUUGUAACAUAAAACAGCAUACAGUAACAAACCGGAUACUGCCACGUAGUCCAAACCGGAUAACUUUGCUUCAUUGCAACAAUGCGUCGAUUAUACGCUGUUUCCUCGUCGUUACCGACAAGCUUUUGGGCUUCAAUUAUUUCAAUUCACACGUGCUGGUCGUAAUAAUUGAAAUGGGCCACACCGGCCGGCCCAAAAGUUAAAUCUCACUGCUCGCGCAGUUAAAUAGUUCGUGGUCUUGCAUGGCCCAAUCAAUCUCAGUUAUAAUUAAACUGUAAAUUGUUUUUUCACAUGCUAAUCAGAAAAAAAGGAAAGAAUUUGGAAUUCGAAUUCCACUAUACUCAUGGCUUAAUUAAAAGAAUUCGAUUAGAAACUGCUGUUGAGUGGAGAGUCUCUCCUAUAAAAGCCCCCUCUGUAUCGUCACAACAGAAGCACAACAUAAUGAAAGGCGAAAUGGCUCUUCUUGCACCCAAACAUUCUCUCCUUCUCCUCCUCCUCCUCCUCCUCUUCCAAGUUAUCUUCUCCACCAUUACCGCCGCCAACGCGGAGCUCACGACUCGCUUCUCCGAGCGUCCCCACAAGAAGAAGCUCAAGGAGAAGCUGAGCCAUCUCCACUUCUACUUCCACGACAUCGUCCGCGGCAAGAACAUAACGGCGGUGCCCGUCACCGCCCCGUCGCGAAGCGCGGGCUCUCCGGCGUCGGCCUUCGGCGUGAUAACCAUCAUGGACGAUGCGCUGACAAUGGGCCCGGAGCCGACGUCGGCGCCCGUGGGCCGGGCCCAGGGGAUGUACGCGUGCGCGGCGCUCCAGGAUCUGGGAUUCCUGCAGGCCAUGAACCUGGUGUUCACGGCGGGCACGUACGACGGCAGCGUCCUCACCGUGCUCGGUCGCAAUGCCCCGCUCCACGCCGUGCGAGAGAUGCCCGUCGUCGGCGGCAGCGGCCUCUUCCGCUUCGCCCGCGGCUACGCCGUUGCGCGGACCCACGACUUCGACGCGGCCACGGGGAAUGCCGUCGUGGAGUACAAUGUUUACGUCAUGCACUACUGAAAUCUAGUUCGUAAAACACACUCAAAAUAAAUUUUAAUUGAAGUAUAAGAUAUGACAGAGCUGUAUCAAUAAUUAAGUAGCGCCCAGAAUAAGUGGUCCAUCAGGUUCACAUGAUUAUGAUUUUUUUUCUUGUUUUACCCCUUGUCUGGAACGUGUACGAUUUUGUGGUCCUUUGUUUGGCUCCCAAGGAUUAAUUACAUUGUUUGAUGCAUUAACCUGUAAAUUUUUGGUCGCCUGCUUCAUUUAACUGUUUAUGUAAGUUAUAUCAACUUCGUUUAUUUCUGGGCUAAUGUUGUUUGUACCCCUGCAUUGGUACGGAUAUAUCAUAUUAAUCCAGCCCAAAAACAGAAGAGAGAGAGAGAGAGAGAGAGAGAGAGAGAGAGAGAGAGAGUAAGCGAGAAAAUAUAUGUCCAAAAUUAUUCUGCAAAAGUUCAAACAAACAACUCAUUAGAAUUAGAAUUAAAAGAACCAUAGCAAUACAAACACGAAAAAAUAAAGGUUCAUUUGGAAAAAUAACCAAAUUUUUGUACAAGCAGAAGCGGUGCUUCGUAUUCUUCUUUUCAUUUUGUGCACAUAAAUAACCUAUUUCCACUAUACAAAAUCAAUUGUAUCACCAUUUCCAGCAUUACAUACAAAGGAAUAUAUAUUUCACACAUCUGCCUCGGUAGCAUAGUAAAUAGUUAGCCCCUCUACAUUAACUGAAUAAUCCUUGAUAUUUCGACCGCAAUCUAUUAACGAUAUCAUUUAGCUGUCCCGUCUAAGUUUUCGUCUUUACCAACAUCAGAAUCCGUGAGAGGAGUCACAGCAGGCCGCCUUGUUGUAGAAAUCUUUUUCCUGCUUCCUCUCAUCGAGGAAUUGCCACUGCUGGUACUUGAUCCAUCAUGCUUAGUUAAUCUUGGUUUUGGAAAGCUGAGUUCUCGAUCGUUGUUGCCGUCCUCCAAAGUAAGCUUUCCCUGUUUGUCUUCUUGUGCUGUUUUGCGGUCUUCUUUGGUGAGUUUCUGGGGAACUGAAGAAGCUGCCGUUCUCUUUUGAGUUGGAAUAGGAAUGGAAAUAGGGGAUUUAAAAAGAGAGUGAUUUCCUCCAUUCGUGAUCGUACAUUUGCUGAUGAGGUGGUGAAGCCAAACCACUAACUCCAGUAUGAUAGCUUCGGUCUUCUCCUUGUCCGCAUGAUGAAGUGUCUCCAUCCUGAUCAGAUCAAGCUGCCCACCAAGGUUUUGAUUCCUGGAAAAAAAAAAAAAAAAAAAACAUACAUCUAAUAAAAUUGUGCAUUAAAAAGGGCUUAUCUGAUGUGUCUGUAGCCCCAGAGAUUUAACAAAUCAGAAGAAAAUAAAGAGAGUGGAUGAGCUUCUCACCCUGUGUUCGCCCACUCUCCGACCCAUCCAAAGCCAUGGUGUGCUCUGAUUACAGUUUACAAUACACAAAAAGGGAAGCAGAUGGUUAGAAGGACUGAAGGUUCGAAUAUUAAUGAAUGAUAUAAGAAGCCACAAUACCUAGUUGUGUUAUUGGCGAUAGGUACAAGCCAUUGCAAUGUUUUCUCCAUUUCUGCUCUGAUUUGAGGUGCUGUGAGCUACAAGAGUACAGUAAAAACCUCUUUUAUUGAAUAAAACUUCAAACAUAAUGCAAAUGCCGCAGGGGCAGUCAUGGUCGAACAAUAAAAUAGUAAGGAAAGAAACCAACCUCUUCGUCGACCUGAAAUGAUUGUAGCUUAUUUCGUAAAGUAGAUUUAACGGUAAGGGGCAAUGCUUGGUACAAUGCAUCCCUAGCAUUCGGAGGGACUGAACUUGACCGUGAUACCUUGGAUAAGUACAUCAUUAUCAGAAUAAGAUUUCACAUAAUGAUUAUUUAGAGAAAGUUUUAAUCUGCGUAAUGAUUAUUUAAAUAUAUUGAAAAAAAGGAACUUACAAGAGUAUCAAUCUGUGUAAUGAUAUUUGCAUAGUGCAGCGCGAGUCCAGCAGAUCCUAACCUCUGAUGGCUAGUAACGGACCUUUUCACAGUUUGAUCUUCACCUACAAUUUGGUAGAAAUACAAUUUUCCUUUUAAUAAAAGAACAGAAAAGUUUGUGACAAUGACAUGAAUUCAAAAAAUUCAACGAGUUAAGAGAAUAUUGUGAGGACGGGCAUCAUGCAUUCAGAGAAAAGCACGGUAAAUUAAAAGAUCUCAAAUGAUUAUGUCGGUGAUUUCAAAAUUUAGAUCAUAUGUACAAUGAAAAGAACUUCUCAAGGAUGUAAAAGAAAUGGAUUUCAUAUAAAAAAAACAAUGAUAAAUUGUAAGAAACAAAAGGUAAUUACCUGUAAUUCUAAAGGCAUCAUGAAUCUUCAAACCUAAAAAGUGGACAAUGUCUACAAGCUUCUCCAUGACCUACAGCAAAGACACAAAUUAUCACAAAAUUCUAUUCAAUGCACUAGAUAGAAACUUAACAUCUAUUUCUUCAAGUGAGUUAAAUCAAAUAAUUAUGCAAUCUGUAAUACAACUGCCCAAGCCACGUACAUCUUCAAGUAUCUUAGACCAAAGUGAUUUCUUCUUUAAACUAAUUACAUGCUUCCUCUGGUUCUUCAACUCUUGCUUUAUGAUUUGAAUUGUGUCCCCUACAACGUAACAGAAAGCACAAGUGAUUACUAGCUGCAAAAGGAUUAUGCAUGAACUUAUCUUCAUAGCAAUGGAUUGAAUUCAGUCAUCAAGUAAAACUGCCGUAACAGUAACAAAUAUAUUCAUGGAACGAUAGAAGUGAAACAUUUCCUAAGCCAAGGUCAAACUAUCAAUGGUUACAUGCGAAGGGUCGGAUUGGCUAACCUUUUUGAAAUGCAACUGAACUGCCCUCUUCCUGAAGUCUUCGCCGAUAAUCUUGCUCAAAUCUAUCUAAUGCAUUCAACUCAUGAUAGAGUUCCUGAUAGAAAUAAAUUUACCAAGGAGAAUAAAACAUUAAGAGACUUCCAGAGAAAGAAAAUGAUGCCAAAAAGACACAUAUCGCAUACGAAAAAAUUAAGCACAAAGUUCACUUCUGAUUUCCAUUGUGUUAGGUAAGUCUCUGUUCCUUAUGAUGAGUUUCAAUCCCACCAGAUUCAUCAUUGCAUUUUACCAUCCCCCAGAACCAAUAGAAACAUGCUACUUUUAUGUAAAAACUCUCAUCAGCAAUUUAUUAGGGAUAAGCCUCAGGUUGACGAGAUUAAAGUUUCUCUCCUUCAUAUACUUGCUAAUAUCUAUUCACAUUUACGCCCUUUUUCCUUCACUACUUGAGUACUUGUAGUAUCUCAAUAACAUGGUUUUUUUUAAAAAAAUCUCAAUACAGAAGUUUCAGAAUGUCUUGGUGAGAAAAGAAACCAAACCUUACUAUAUUCCAUAAAAUGAAACAAAUUGGAAAAUUAUAUCUUAGUUACUCUAAAACACACUUAUUCACACGACACAAGUACCCAACCCCCCACCACCCCCCCACCCCCCNNNNNNNNCCCCCUCUCUCACCAAAAGAAUCUCAAUUUGUCACAUUAUUCCCUAUCAUAAGUUAAUUCCAUGAAGACCAUGCACAUAUGCAAUGGAAGCACCACCUUAAUCAAGCUUUGCUGCUCUUAAGUUACUUGAAAGCUGAAGCAGUAGGUUGCAAUUACCAGUAACUGGCUAACUGCUUGACAUAUGUGCAUGAAAAUUCAUUAGGGAUCGCUAUCACCAAUUGCAAGUAUUAGAAAUUGAUCAAUCGCCCUCAAUUUUCCAACAGAAAACAAAAAGAAUACUCACAGCUGUAUUCUGAACAAGUGUCAUCAAAUAUUGCAUCUCUCCUGUUGCCGUUUCUUUAAGGUGAUUCGGAGGUGUAACUUCUGACUCCAGUCUAAAAAUAAGAGCAAGAAACACAAUAAGCUCACAAAAUCUUACUAUGGUACGUAUCUGGCAUUGGGCGAAAAAAAAAGGAUUUACCUUGCAAAAUAACGAUCCAAAUUGUGCCACCGAGGAUCCUUACAAUGAUUACCAAAACGAACCACCUCUCCUGAAAAUACUUUCAACUCUUGCCUGUUCAAUUGACAAUUUGACAUCAGAGCCAAAACCAAUUUUCUUUAAGGAGGAGCAAAAAAUUUAGCAAAAAAAAUCCUUACAAAAAAACAGUUACAACAUUUGAAAUCUUAAAAAAGAUAUUUUUAAGAGGGCAUAUAUAUACACCUUUUGUCAGCUGCAGCAAGCAUUAGGAGCUCACCCAUAUCUUUGGAAACCAAAUUCUGAACACCUUCAGAUCGGAACACUACUUUCAAGUGCUUUACAUUCUGUUCUGAGAGAGACUGCAUGAGAUUGGAACCUUUGACAACUGUAUUGGCGACCUCAAAAGCCAGAAUAGAUAUUCUAUUGCCUUUCUUAGUAACUCCAGAUAUAAAACCACUGUUGGAGUUCAAACUGGUCAUACUGCUACCAAGUGUGUCGAGAACCUCCACUGCCUUCCCGAGUCCAGCUGUACUGGCUCUGCCCAAAAUUGAGCUCACAUCCGAAACCUGCGAUAAAGUAUAUAGCUAUAAAAGAUACUUCUUAUAACAGUUUUAAAACAAAAAAGUUUGGACAAAAAAGGAUGAGAGUGGAAAUUUUUUUCUUUUUUUUUUUUUUCAUUUUGGUUUAAUCUCUACAACCCAGAUGCAGUGUAAUUAUCUCUUCAUUAAUCAGCAAUUCUACAAAGACGUUAAAAGGGUCUUUUGGAGACAAUUGUUCAAUUCCACUGUUUUUUUCGGCUUUUUUAUUGUACAAAAAUUGCUCCCCCCCCCUCCUUUCAGUUCUCUAGUCACUUAUCCCUGUCUAAGUGAUGAAAUAUGACUUUUGUAUUCAUCUUUCCUUUCCCCAACUCCUUUCAAUAGGAACAGGAUGCUAAUUUUGGUUACCAUUUGAUAAACUCGAUGCACAUUAAACUUGAAUAAGCAAAAAAGAAACAUCAUAUCCUAGGACUUCACCAUUGUGUGUCUCUUCAUGUAAAAGUUUUUUUUUUUUUUCUUUUGGGACUAAACAUACAAAGAAUUGGCUUAUUAGAAGAAAACAGUAUAGAAACAAAGCAGAAGGCAGAUAAAAUGGCCCCAUUAGAAAACAGUAUAUUCACAAAUCAGUGAUUUUAGGAGCAAUUUAUGCGCAGCAUCAUAAAAAGUUGUUGCUCCUCUAAAACCAUAAAAAUUUAUUUAACAACAAUUCAUAGUAAAAAGCAUCCAAUCAGUAAAGAAGCAUUCAUCUAUACAAUUUCCAAUUAGUGAGAACAAUGAAGCUGUCCAGGAAAUCACUUGCCUUCGUUUGAUCUGCCGGCUUCGACUUAUUGGUCUUUGAUUUUUGUGACAGAUUCUUCGACAAUUUCCGCUCUUUUGAGGACACUGAACAUGAACUGAGACCCUUCUCACACAAUGUAGAUUCUCCCUUGCAUGGCUUCUUUUCAAUAUCCUCCACAAUUGGAGUGGUCUUAUUUUUGCUCGGCGCCUUCGGAUUGUACUCAAACUGUUUGUGAUCAUUUUCCUCAGAGCCAUUGUCAUCAAAGGAAAGCUCAUUGAGUGAGUUACCUCGAUCAGCACCAAUAGAACAAACCCCACCCAUCCUAAAGAAGUAUCCUCAGAUUUUUUUUUUCUGUUUUUUUUGUUUAUUUGACCCUCAAUUCUUCUUCUUUUCUUCAAUGCUAAUUACAAUGGAACCUGUUAAAACAGGGAGUAAUUGGCGAAUUACGCCGAAAAUUUCAUAAGCUUAUAAAGUGAGAACUCCAAUCCACCCAACACAAACCUGUAAUCAUCAAAAGAACAACAAAAUCGCAAGGAAAAAAGCAAUUUUUAGUAUCGAAAUAAGUAAGCGAAAGAGACCCAAUUCGCCGAAACCAAAAUUGUUUCAUGCAAAAUGCAAAACCGAUAUCCCAAAUCCACAAAUGGGUCGAGGGGGACAAUGUAAAACCCCCAAAAGACCCAAUUUUCGCAGGAUCUAACAUGAAAAAUCGCAAAAGAGAGAGAGGGGGAGGAGGAGGAGGAAGAGAACUAACCUUAGGAGGUGAGAACAAGUCGAAGAAGGGGAAUGGGCGAUUGAUGGGGAUUAAAUGGAGAAAAAAGAGUCAAAGAUUGUAGAAGGGAGAAGAUACGUUGGGAGAGACGAGUCGGGGGAGGGGGAAUAGAGCAAAAUGGUAAAAAAUGAGGGGGCUUUUAAUGUUAAAUGGCUAAAAUACAACGUUGAAGCACCAAAUCCACUAAGAAAAAUAAAAAUAAAAAUAAAAUAUAAUAUAUAUAUAAUUAUUUUUUAAUAUUAAACCCAACUCUCCUCCCGCGUUGACCGUCGACAGAGUUGGAGCCAGUCAAACCCAAACACCAGCCGUGUAUUAGUUCUCAUAAUAUUUUUUUAUGUAACAGUGCAAUAAUUUUUUUUUUUUCACCAAAAAAAUGAAGUAAAUUGAACAUUUAUUUGCUUUAAUUCCAGUACCUUAUGGAAAAUAGUAAAAAAUGUUAAAGAAACACAAUUGCCUUUCCCUCUAAUUAAGUACUUUUAUAUAUUAAUACGGAGACUAGACAUAAGUCUUAAAUUUAAACUUACGUGAGUUCUCCAAUUCUCAAACUCACAAUGGGCACCUAAAUAUCUAGCAUUAGAGUAAUAAUGAUUUGAUCAUUUUCAUUAUUUAGGUUUAGUUUGGUAUUAAGAUCUAUCUAACGUUAUUAGAUAAAAUAGAGUUAGAAUAAAAGCAUAUAGGAAUAUACUUCUGCGUUUUUCGGUGGGAUAGCAAAAAAUAUAUCGAAACUGACUCAUCACAAUAUGCGGAACGCAAUAUUACGUACGGAAACAAAUAUGAUAUUCUUUCAUCGUACUUUCUCAUUCUCCGUAAUUCCAAACGAAACCUAAUCUUUUUUUCGUAAUCUCUCUUAUAUUAUUCUCAGUAAACCAAAAAAUUUCCACCAUGCAUUGAUGAGAUUUAUAGAUUCUUCACACAUGUAGUUGGUGGAUGAGAUGAUUUUCCAUUUACCCUAACUAGAAUAAUCGAUCGGGAAUUUGCAACGCAAGUAAAUGAAAAUUUAGUGUGUGAAUAAUUAAAAAAUGGGUUAUUGAUCCUCCGUCUAAGUGAAAUUGACUAGUGUUAACUUAUAAAAUAAAAAAUAAAAUGAGAAAAACUCAGAUGAUCGAAUUAAUUAAUAUUGCUUGAUCCAUCUAUCCAUUGGCUCGAAUGGCAACACCUAGAACAACUAAUUAAACCACCCUGCAACAAAUCAUCCUGCAAAAUAAUCCUAAAAAGAAAAAAGGUUUUCACGAGGAUCUUCCGAAAUCGAAUUAUACUUUAGAGUUUUGAUCGAACAAGAUUAAUUAUAAAACAAAAUUUUCAUGUUUGCGGCCAUACGAAUCAAAUUAGAAUAUGCUCCUUAAUCAUCCUUUUCAACCCAUAUAAUAAUUUGCUAAGCAUGUACGUGGUUUCAUUCAAACCAUAUGAAACCCUACUUAGUUAAAAUAAUAAGCAGCAAUUUCCCAUCUAAUUCUCAUGGACCAAACAAAUUGAGUAAGAGUUAUUUAUUUAUUUAUUUAUUACAUGGCAUCCUUUUAUUGACCUGUGCAUAUUUGAUUUAUUUGGUUUUUAGUUUUAUAUGUACUAUUUGAGCCGCGUCAUUUUGAUACGGGACUUGAUAUAAGCAUAUGUUAAGAAAUUGCCUCUUACAUGCUCGUUGACCAUCGACUUGGUUGUUCCAGUCAACUUUUUGGCUAAUAAGAAUGACUCGACAGGGGAGAAAAGAAUGAAGCGAAAGUUUUGAGAAUCGUAACAACUUUCAAAAAAAAAAGAAAAAAAGAAAAAGAAGUAGGAACACGUGGAGAAAAAAAUAGCACAAUGUGUAGCACAACAAGUCAACAAGUUAUGAUCACUUUUAUUCUAUUUCUUUUAUUUGCUAAAUAUCAAAUAUUAAAAUACUAUUUUAUGGUAUUUUUUUAAGUUUUUAUGUAAAGUAAUAAAAUUAUUAUAUUCUCUACCGACUACUGGCGUUAUCUUCCGUUUUGUCAAAUCUCGUGUAAGGGAAUAUUAUAUUGUCACUAGUGAGCACCUGUAACAAUCUCUUAAAAUGUUUUGGUUUUUGGAAUAGAUUUAGUAACCCAAUAUUAAUUUUCCUUUUUUAAAAAAGAAAAGUCAUCUCCAACCACUUUAAACUAAUACACAAAUAAUUUAAAACUUUAAUGCGUUUCCACAAAUUAAUUAAUUCCUAAUUUCCGAGAAGCCUCUACGACGGUUGAACAAUCUGAAAAGAAUCACUGAAAGAGAAUUAUUCUCGAGUUACUCUCCAACGUGAUUACUUAAGCACGUCCAUACACUUGCAUUUGUACACCGCUAUUUUGUACGAAAAGUCAAAUAUUAAAAAGAAAACAGGGUUAAAUAAUUCAUGCCCCACGUGUUUAUUUGGUCAACUCUUUUGAGGCUAUGUAUAGAGAUGGUUUAUGAGGACAUGUUAAAGCAUAAGACGCUUAAUUAAUUGCCAAGUGUUUACAGGCUGGUAAUAAUAGGAUUAAAUAAAAAUUAGCCACCGAAUUUAAAUAUAACUUUUAUAGAACAAUUUAUUAAUGCACCCUUCAUCUAAGUCUAUCAAUUAGAGCAACACGCGGAGGACAGGUGGCGAGGUAAAUGCACAGCAAGUUCCACGAGGGGUUAGAUAUUGACCGGAUAGGACCGGAUCUGAGUCAAAUUGAAAAAAAAAAAAAAAACACUCAUUUCAAACGCGGAUCAAUCGAGAAAAGCUAAAGCCCGAGCUCAGCCCAGAUUUUCAGAUCCGGCACGGCACGACCCGGCACAGCACGACCCGUUAAAGCUGAAGCUGAGCAGGUCAGGUCGGGACGGUCACGGAGUUGGGUCUAGAGGAAAAGAAGCCCUCUCAAAGUUUCAUCCCCCAGGUACCAAGCACCAGAAGCAGAAACCCAACAGGCUUAUCUCCACUUGUGUCAAAUAUAGCUGCUGAUGUUUGGAUAUUCUCAUGCUUACGAUAACCUUUACAUAGGCCCUUUUUUCUUUUUUCUUUUUUUAACCUUGAGGUAAUGCUCUCUUCCUGUACCAAGUCAAUGAUUCUCACCUUAAAAAUGUAUAUUUGCAAAUGCUAAGCAUCUUUCCACAAGGAUAAAUAAGAUAUCUAUAAAGCACCAAUCAGAAAUAAUCAGCAGAAGAAAGAUUCAAGAAGUAGUUCACCAAUCAAUACAGUGGAAGAACAAACAACACCUCACUUGUGACAUAGAUAUUCGAAUGUUUACAAAUUCAAAGAAUACCUUCAAAAAAAGAAAACACGUUAGCGCAUUCGUCGACAUCGGAUGAUAUGCAAGGCAAGAAAUAACUGUAGCAUAGAUUAGUAAACCAGAAUUCAGAAAGAUAAUGUUGAUUAAGUAAAAGCAGAACCCUAGGAGAUACUAACAAUGCUUAUCUCGUAAGAUAAUAAUACCAUGAGAAUAUUUAAUACUUGUCAGGAUGCUUCGGCGUAGUGCUGUCAAGUUAUAAUUAGGUGGUGAUAUUUUGGUAAUUCUUGAUAACAACGAGGUAUCUGCUACAAAGAAUUGAUUUAAAUUCUGCAGUAAAGUGAGCAGCGAAAUCCGUCACGAAGGAGCGAACCUCAUUUAUCAGUGAGACUAGGAAAAAGUAGCUGCCUCCUCAAUAUUAAUGUAUAUUACCAUCAUGUGGGCACAACAUUUUCACAGCUCGAGGAUAUCAUAAUCCAAGACUGAAUCAACAAUCGACUUCUGACUUGCCUGCUUUAAGAUUUCUUCUUUAAUAACGAAACAUUUGGCCCUAUGAAAAACAAAUGGACCAAUAAAGUUAGAUUUAUGUAGAUACAAAUACAUGUAUACGGUUAUAACCAAAUUUCAAUAAUUAUUGCAAUGAAAUUCAACUAUUAAUUUCACUAGUUACUGCAAAUCCUGAGGGCUUACUAAACAAAGUUACCUUUCGAGAACAUCUUCCUACUGAUUGGACUUCAACACCAGGUCUUCCAAUUCAUCAGCAAUCGCCGCAUAGCAAAAGAAGUAUUGAUCCUAGAAGCCAUCAGAUUAAUAGAUCAGAAUGAGACUAGUCAUAGGUAUGGGAUAAAAGGGAAACAAAACACUCUGCAUGGAAUUAAUGAUCUCUUGAGUUCAGCAGAUUUGUUAGUAAACUGUCGUUGGGUGGUCCAAAACGUUCCCCAGACAAUCUUCUACAAUGGAAUAAUUAGUAGCCAGCGUCUCUGUAUUCUGAUAGAAUUAGUGCAACAUUAUUGUUGUGGUGAUCAGUCUCAUUGUUCCUUCUAACGUCAGUGUAGAGAAAUAAAGGUUGUUAGACCAGAAAAAUGUUCUAAGAGAAGAUCACAAAUUCAGUACUCAGUAGUGACUGCAAAUAAAUUAGAAAAAUAAUAUUAUUUUUUUCCAUUAGAAUAAUCAUAUUUUUCCUGUUUUACUCUAAUUUCUGAUGUAUCAACACCAUCUACAUUCUAUAGAGCAUAGACAAGUAAAUCUUAAUUAAUUGUUCAACUGAAGCAUAUAAGGACAGGCGUGGGAGUUUGACAUUUUACCAUUGUCUGGACCAUUCCACUGCGCUGAGAUCUAAAAUCAGCAACAGUUUUCACAAGAUCUAAAGAAGACAUGUCACCAAGGAGAAUCCGUUGGAUAGUAUUGUGAAUGGUACAGUAUGUACCAGUUCUUCCAAUACCUGCACUGAGUAAGUGAGAACAUAAACUGCAUUAGAAAGAGAAAAUCACAAACAUUUGUACUAUUGAAUGAAGUAUAAAAGAGAUUUUGAAGCAAACCUGCAGUGAACAACUAUAGGACCGAGAUCUGGGGGGACGUGAUAUAACAUUUUAAAGAUUUCUCGUACAGUUACUGUAUACUCAGGAGUUCCAUGAUCAGGCCAUUCAGGGUACUGGAUAUGGAGAACAGGCAGUGCAGGCUCUCCUGACUGUAGUAAAGAAUUAGAUAGAUAAACAUGAUUAAAAAAAAAAAAAAGCGAAGUUAACAAUCAUAGAGACUGAUCCUGCUAAAAGCAGGAGUACAACGAACAAAACCUAUUAAUCUAUAUACCUACACAAGGCCGACAUAGAAACACAAGCGCACUGAUAUAUAUGCCCACUCAAGCAGACACACACAAGUAAGAGAAUGAAGGAAAAGGACAUGUAGGAGGAUGGAUGUCACACAAAGGAGAAGGACAUAAAGUGCUGAUGCGCUUAAGUGUCUGAUGAGCAUCCAUUUUGAAAGCUUACUUAAAUCGUGGCAGUCUUCACUAAAAAGAAACAUGUUUAUUGCAAAGUUUGAAGUUUCUUUGUACUUCAAAGUCAUUACUUUAAAUAUCUUUACCUCUUUCUAUGCAUUUAAAUAGCUUUACUUCUUAUGGACCAACAAAUAUGGCCUUAUCUAGUCUAGAAAUAAUAGGUUGUUAUAGUCAUAAUGUUGUUAAGUAAUAUUCAUCAUCGAAGGCACAAGAAGAACCCAAAUAAGAGUGCCAGGUAAGUAGUCCGUGCUUUAGCACAUUUGAGAUUCUAAUGCAAAAUGUCAUUGAAAACCUAUACCUCUGUGCAUACAUCGUCAGAUAAUCAGCGUACGCAAAAUGUCAUUGAAAACCUAUACUUCUGUGCAUACAUCAUUAGAUAAUCAGCAUGUCAAAUCACAAUCCAACACCAAAAAAUCUGACCUAUCCAAUUAUCGGCUUAUCAGAGUUCUGGUUUUCAUUUAUACAAUCAAAGAGUAAUUGAUCAACAACAUCAAUCAAAAGUAAUGAUCACAAAGGAAGUCAUAUGGUGUCACAAAGUGGCAAUUGCUUGCGGUUAACCCUUCUUUACAUCAAUCCAUGAUUUCAUAAGUGUUUCAUGUAUCCCACAAUUCUUGAAUCUAUAAUGACAAAGAAAAAGGAAAAAGGAAAAAAACGAUUAUCCUAGUGUCAGGAUGAGUUAACAAGUAGAUACACCAAUUCUAUUGCAGCUACCAAAAGUAAUUCUUCUACCGGAAGAAUGGUCGGUCACUUGCAAAAAUUGACUGCAUUUUCUAGUAUGGUUUUGGAGGGUAAGCCUACCAUAUACGAAUUGUGUACACUUCACAUCUUACUAGGAGGAAGAACGAAGCAAGGCAUGAAGAUCAAACAACAGCUCUGGAUGUAUAUAGAUAAUUAAAAGAUGAAAUGUUAAAAUUAGAUUCCUUUACCUCCUUGCGUUGAACCUCCAAACAACGGAGCACUAAUGAAGAGGAAGUCACUUUAGUAGUCUUGGCCAGAACAUUUACUGUUCCAAAUUCUCUUAACCCAUUCUCUACUUGGAUAUAAUCGGCACAUUUUCCCAUCAUCUGCCAUUAUUUGCAUAUAAGAUACUGUUAUAAUUGCAGGAAUUUUAUAGAGGGAAUUGCUGAAAUUAUAUUAUCACUAAAAGGAUGAUUGAUACAACAAAAAGAUGUCACCAUUUCUAUGAUAAAAAAUUGCAAUUUAGAUGCAAUUCAAGCACCUUUGGAUUGUCAAAGAGAGUAAGCAUAACAAUCGCAGGGCAGUGAUAUUGGAUGAUCAUCUCCCAGAAAUCUUCAAAUGUCUCAGGAAGUGGACCCUGGGCUGCAAUAAACUGUGAAACCUUCCCAGUGGAACCACUCUGCAUUUCAGGCGUAGCAAUCAUAAGAAAGACGUAAAUGAAAUGCAUGCAACAGACAGCAAAUAGUUUGCUAUACUGUCAAAGCCUGAACAACCAAUGUGAGUUUACCGUAACAAAGCUUGCAUUGAUGUAGCCAUCCCCCACAGAUCUGUUGUCUUUUGUUGAAUUAAGUAUUACCCGGGCAUUGUCAACUAAGAAAUGGAACAAAAAAUAAAGUUAAUCAUACCCAUUUACAAAACAUGCCUCUAAAGUACACAUUGGCGCGCGCGCGCGCGCAGAGAGAGAGAGAGAGAGAGAGAGAGAGAGAGAGAGAGAGAGAUCUUCUAUACUCAUCUCAUCGAAAAAAAAGAAAUAUUUAGUGUAGUGAAAAUUACACGGCAAGACGUCUAUAUAGCGGUUUUUGUCCAAGUUGGCAUUUUCAAGAGCAACAGUACACCUUCUUAUAGUCUCAUCCCUUGUUAGCCUCAUGGCCUGUAGAUCAGAAACGUGUUCAUCCAAUCAUAUUAACCAUUAAGGAAAGUAGAAACAGACUGCAUAAUUAUCAUGGCCAACACAGAUUUAUUAAGCAAGAAAUAUAUUGAUCCAAAACUUGGCCAUUUUUUUUGAGGCAAUUAGAGCUAUAGUUUUACAAGUAAUCCCACCCAAAAAAAAAACAAAAAAACAAAAAGAGGACGAUUGGAUUAGGUAACUCAGCAUUCUAGCAUGAAAAUUCUCUGGGAAUUAUUAUAAGGAUCGAUACGAGGGAAAUGUGAAUAUAAAAAGAGUGAAGGCAUAAUCAAGAUUGGUAUUUCUGUUUUUGGAUGCUGAGUUUGUGGGAGAAAUAGCAGCCCUUCAAUGAACUAAGAUAGAGCAAACCAGCCUACAAAUUCUGGAGGAUUACACAUUGAUAAUACUUUAUGGUGCUCCAAAUAAGCCAUCUACAAUCAGAAAAUAUCAGCUUUAAGGAGAAAUGUUCCACUAUAUAUGCAAAGCAGGAAAAAAGGCCCAUACGCACCUGAACUUUGACCCAAUUGCAGAUCAUCUAGUGUCUAAAGAAUUUCAAUUUACUGCAGUUUGUUUCAAUCUAUCACGAAGCCAUAAUCUUCUACCAAGUGUUCUAACGACCGUCAGCAUUUGACUGCCACGUGAGGGACAGAAUACUUCUAAAACUUUUCAAGUCUACCAGCACCAAAGUUUUAAAGUUUGAGCGGUGAUUCAUAAGUUCGGUAUCUCACAUAUUUUUCACACUGUCGUGCUUCGAAACUUGACAGAUAUUCAUGCAAGAUGGUUAAUUGAAACAUACUAAUUGCUCACAAACAAAAUUUCAAAUUUUUGUGUCGAUUUACAAUCCUGUAGCUUUUUUCUCAUAUAAAAUGACAUUAAACUUCCAUUUAACUCAAAAUGAACGUAACUGGAACCUCGAUUCUUCCACAGAGAUAUAAGCAACACAAAUCAAAUUAAAACUUGGGUAAGCUGAGUAAAAUUAGGAGAAUAAAGGAAUCAUAGGUCCGCAAAGCGACCUGAAGCUUGUCGAAUUCCUGGGCGAUCUUCGAGCGAUUUCGGAGCUCCUUCCUGAAGAAGGCGAGGGCUUCGGAGCAGUACUUCAGCUGGUCACGCGAAAGGCGGAGCGGCGGCGGAUCACGGGCGAGGUCGUGCGGGUUGAAGGCGCCACCCCCGGCGAGGGAGGAGGAGGGCGAGGCCGCGCCCGCGCCCUUGGAUGCUGCGGCCAUCGCCGAUCUGCGUCCGCCGCCGCCGCCGCGCCCCGUCGAGUUCCCCGUCGCUUCGGGAUCACGCUUGCGCUCUCUCUCUCUCUCUCUCUCUCUGCUUUAUCUUUCUCGGGAGCGAGACGAGCGUGGAUCGACCCGCACUCACGGGCGCGGAGGGCCUCUUUAUUGAGGUCUCGGGCACCCACUAGAUUUUAAACACUUGGCUCGAUUCGGUCUAUACGCCCCCCCCCCCCAACUAAUUUAUUUUUAAAAAAAUAAACGAAGCGGAUAAUAUACAUCUUUCUCUUUUAAAAAAAAAUGGGUGGAGAUAAUUCCAAAUUUGAGAUUGAUGCUGUGAAUGGAGUAAUUUUAUAUUUUUGCAAAUUCUUUGUUUAAUUAAAUUAAAUUGGUUAAAAUAUAAUACAUAUUUAAAUUACAGUUGUAUUAUUAAUAUCUAAAAUUAUAAUAAUUUUUUAAAUAACUAUUUUUUAAUUUAUUUAUAUUAUAAUAUAUAUUUUAGUUGUAGCACAUUGUAUCGCAUUUAGUCUUAUUUUUCUUUAACGGACUGAUCUGAUUAUUUACCUGCUAUAUUACCUCAAAUUUAUAACUUAGCUAUAUUUUAUCUUGUACAUUAGGUUUACGGUUUACCCAAUUUUUAACUCUAUUUUUAUUUUUAUAUGAUUGACUUCUGCACUCGGUCCACGCAAAAUACUCUUUCUAAUAUUUCGGACCCAUCGGCUGUGCGCAUUUGGUCCGAACCGUGCUACAUGCAUCUUGCAAUCGCAGCCGUCCAAUUCCGGCCGCAGUAUAAACAAUCGGAUCGUAGCCCGAUCCGCAUUAGAGCGUCUUUCCCAUCUCGCGAAUCACUUUACCGCCAAGAAUCCCGUUCGAGGGCUUUCCCCUCCCACUCCUCCCAAACCCUCGCAUUCCCGAGAACAAUCGAGAGAGAUCGAGAGAGGAAGUAGAAGAGAUGAUGGAAGCGCCCUCGUUCGCACUCGACGAUGGCGACGACGUACGCCUCGCCCCCUCUUUCUCCAUGAUCUACUUCUUCGUUCUCUCUAUCCUCCUCUUCAUCUUCCUCUUUUUCCCACUCCCUCACCCGCUUCUUUAUCCGCAGGAUUUCGAUUGGGAUGCGGCAGUGAGGGAGAUCGACUCCGCGUGCCGAGUCGCGUCGACGUCGACCUCCGAUCGACAAGGUUUCGCCGCGCCUCCCGCAGCGUCGUCGUCGGCUCCCGAGUCUCGCCCUAAACCGGCGAAGAUCAACGGCAAGGCGCGGCAGUUGACUCUCGAGCGAUUUGUGGAUUCGUUCACUAAGCGCAAGAAGAUAGGCGAUGGCCCGUUCGGUUCUCGCAUUUGGGAAAGAGAUGCGCCUGUUGAUCAGGGGAAAGAGGGGAAUCCUGGGGCAGGGGAUGAACCGCCUGCUGUUAGAAUUGAUCUAGAAGCAGCAAAGACAUGGAUUUAUCCAGGUAAGGACUCCGAGCUCUUUUUAAUUUUGAGUUCAUCCCAUUAUUAUAUUGAAAUGUUAACGAUUCGAAAAAUGCAAACCUGUUUCUACUCUUUUAGAUCUGUUAUAUUAUUUAUCUUUAAGUUCUUUCCAGCAGAAGCAACAGGAUUAAAAAAAAAAAAAGUUCAUGUGAAACUUUUUACGGGAAUUAGCAAAACAAGGUUACCACAGAAAAUUAGAAAGAGAGAAGAGAAAUAUGCUAGGUUAGAUUGGUGACCGGGACAAAGGGUUCACAUCAGAGAGAGAGAAAAUUGUAAAUACCAGGAUUAGAAUGUUACUGGUAAGAAGUUUCAAAAUGUAUGAUUCUUGUUGAAUGGCUAUGUAGGAAAAAUGAAUAUUCCUGAAUGAGGACUCAAGAUUUCUCUUUGAGAUAGUUAGUGGGGAGGUUAAUAAAUUAAAACAAAUGUUCUAGUUAUGCCAACUGUAAUAUUUAUUGGCUGCCUCGAAUCUGGAUUAGAUUUUAGUCAAAUUGCAUCUUCUUUUUCAAGAGCUGCACUUAAGAGGCACAUUGUUGCAAUGCAAACUGAACUUGGUAUUUCCAUCAGGCAUCAUCACAUGCUUCCACAGAGUAUAGUUGUCGCAUAGAAAUUAUGAUAAACUUUGUUCUUUCUUCCAAAAAUACAGUUAUAAUAUAUGGUCUAAUGCAAAUGAUUUUUUCCCACAUGCUACAGUUAAUGUACCUCUGCGAGAUUACCAACUGUCUAUUGCUAGGAGUGCGCUGUUUUCAAAUACACUUGUGGCGUUGCCAACCGGACUUGGCAAAACACUUAUUGCAGCUGUUGUGAUGUAUAACUAUUUUAGAUGGUUUCCCGAAGGUAAUUUUCUGUGCAAUGCUGUUACUUUUAUAACGCAUUAUCUUCUGCUAUUGCAACUCUUUUUGGAAUGAAUUGAAAAUAUCAUCUCCAUCCUCAGUUGAUUCUCAUAAUGCUCUAAAUGAUAUUUCAAGCCAGAUUAUAUUUUCAAAGUUCAGCAAAAGACAUUUCUGAAUAUAACAGCAAAUUAUGUUUUUAUGGCUAACGAUGACUAUUCUUCAUUUUCUAUAACUUGAAAUUUUGAAUCAUACAUCUGUUUUCUAGGCUGAUAAUACAUAUAGGUAGUUCCUGUGCAUGUUUUUUUUCAUAUGUAUAUUUCUUUUCUAUUAAAUUUGUCAUUUCUUUUUGGUUGAUCACGUCACUUGUAAUUGUGCUUCUUUCUUGCACUUCUUUCUAAAUUUCCGUCAAGUUUUUAGUAUUGAACAAGUAGGGUUUUCAAACCUUAAAUCUAAAAUUUAAACAGAUGGUUGAUGCACUUGGUGACCAGUAGAGAUUGGAUAUUAGGUGAAUAUGAUAAGGUCUGAAUUUUAUGUUAAAGGAACUGAUUGGCCUAUAUGACACUAAUUUAUAAUUUAACUAUGCUAGUGUUUCAAUAUAUGUAACAAAUCAUUUUGUAGCUUUCAUAAUACACCUUCAGUAUGGCAAAGAUGGCAACAUUAUGUUUCGCCACUUUGAAGUCUAUGCUGAUCGCAGAAGCAUUUGUAAUGUUGUACUAUAAAAGUUGUUUUCUUUGACUCUUGGACAACUUAGUUAUAAGUCUCGUUCUCCCCAUUCAAGCGGUCGCUACUCUCUUUAAGAAUUUUAUUCUCUUCGGGACAUUUGAUUGCAAGUUUUUCACAUCAAAGCUAGGGGGUUAUUUAAAAUCUUAUCCAUCAGUAUAAACAAAUUCUAUGUUGGUACUCCUUGGUUGAAAAUUUUUCAGGUAAAAUAGUAUUUGCUGCCCCCUCACGUCCUCUUGUUAUGCAACAGAUUGAGGCAUGCCACAAUAUUGUCGGAAUACCACAGGUAUUAUUCCUUCAUUUUUCCCCCCUUUUUAACCUUUUAUUUUCUUUGCAUGUAUGAACUUAACCAUGCAAAUACUCCAUCUAGAAGAGUGAUGUUCUCAUGAUCUUUUACAUAAGUGUUGAGAAAAAUGAGAUCGAACUGAUUGCAGGAAUGGACAAUUGAUAUGACAGGUCAGAUGAGUCCUUCUAAGAGAUCCACAUUUUGGAAGUCCAAAAGAGUUUUCUUUGUUACUCCUCAAGUAUUGGAAAAAGAUAUACAAUCUGGUAAUUACUUGGUUUUACUUUAAUUGUAAUCUAUUGGUAGUUCUGCUGGCAACAUGGUUACAUCGUUCUUCACUUCUUCUCUAUGCAUUUCUUGAUGCUGACCAAAAUUAGGAAAUACAAACAAGGCUAAACAGUUAGUUGCUAAAAGCAAUCUAAUUGACCAACCAUUAGUUGGCUUUGAGAUGUGCUAUAUCCUAACAAUUGAGUGGUUGAUCAAUCAGUCAGCUUAUUCUGGUUUCUGAUCUAUGAAAGUUUAUUAGAUGGAAGCACUUGUUUCUUUUAUGAUUCUCUUACUACUGCUGAUUCUUUACAGGGAUCUCUAUGAAGACCAUUUUUAGUUCUUUGUUGGUCCAGAGGUCAAGAGAUGCCAAUUGAUUUUUAUUCUUGAAUUAGAAUAUUUUUGUUGGAGCUUAUGGAGAUAGAAAUACUUGUCUUUUUCUUCUUCUUUUUCCUCUUCAUUGUCUUCAUUGUCCUCUUUGUCUUUGUCUUCAUUUUCUUAGUCUGCAUGGACAUCAACAUAUGCACAUCAUCCGUCAGGCUAAGUUUAUAAUAUCUUUUUAGGAAAAAGAGAAGGGUCGAAAGUUUAUAUGGUUUUAUGGAUGUUAUCCCAUUUUGAUAAUUUAAUGCAUGAUUUCCCCGAAACUGACCCACGGCACAGCGCCCAUUCGCUUUGCGCGCGGGAAGGCAACGAAGUUCAGUUCAAGAGACCGCAGCGGAGUGUAAGUGGAGAGGUGGCACAUUCCUUUCCAUACACUUGUCAAUUCCGCACUGCUGCUGAGUCGUCGGACUUAUCCACCUCAGGGAUUCGUGGAAUUUCCGUUUUUGAAUUGCGUUGGGGGAAAUCUACCAAAGCUAGGCAGAUAGAUAGACUCCUUUCCCGCUGCUAAGGGAGAGCAAGAAAAAAUAUAAAAUUCUUGUUUUUUUCACCAGCGCCCUCUGAAGUCAAAGUCAGGGUUACAUCGAGUGAGAAAGCAGCAUUUUCAAAAUGAAAAGUAGGGCUUGAGGGCAUUUCGAGUAAUUUGAUAACUUAUUUCCUGUCUAUAUGAGAGUUGCCAACUCCGGUUGGCAUGCAUGAAGCAACCUAUACUGUGGCUCCAUACCCAGAGGGAAUGGAGCAGGAAAGGUUGCUUCCCCAACGGCCACGUAGGGGGAUACGUGGCCUAUUCCCAGUGGUAGGUUCAAGUUCAGUUUUGAACCUACCUAAGGAGCUUAACACGUGCAAGCGACAUUUCCAACAAUCAACUUCCCACUUGGGAUGGACGAGAGACCUACGACCGGAGACCUACGGAUCAAGCUCUUCUCCUUCGGAACUUGGACAUCAGCUUUAAGUUACACUUUUUAUUUUUAGUCAGAAGUGAACUUUAGGUAAGAAAGUAGUCCCGUAGAAAAUUCAUAAAACAUGCAUAUCCCAUAACCUGAGGGGACUGAUUUCUCCGUCGGCGAGGCCUAUGCGGCGGGGGACCAUUCGGUCUCCCUCGCAGGUUGCUACGCCGGUAUAUUCUCAGUCAGCGAGGCCUAUGCGGCGGGGGACCAUUUGGUCUCCCUCGCCAGUUGCUACGCCGGUAUAUUCUCGGUCGGCGAAGCCUAGUUUUAUCGUAUUUCGUCUCCGAAAGGGCAUAGCCCAACUUCUGGAGAGACAAAACAAUUCUUGUAUCCUUGUCAAGCAUGAUAAGUGGCCUUCAUCUAAAUAUUGAAUGUUCACUGAUUUUCUAAUUAUAUACAUACCAUGACAAUUUCUGCUCUCUUGGUGCUUAAACUAUUUUAUCAGACUUGCGAUUUGACCAGGUUGUGCACUUUCUUUUCAGUUCUAUGUGUAGUUUAACCUUUGGCGGACGUGUUUCAUAAAUCUUAUUCUUGCAAGCUUUUCUCUAAUUCAAUAUUUUGAAUUUCUGGUAUUUGUCAGGAAUAUGUUUAGUAAGACAACUUGUUUGUUUGGUGAUCGAUGAAGCUCAUCGUGCUUUGGGAAAUUAUUCUUACUGCGUUGCAGUUCGUGAGGUUUGUUUCUAUUACAGUCGUUAGCACAGAACUCAAUAUACUUUGUUUCCUACUAUGCAAAUCCUAUUUCUUCUCCACUUCAGUUCAUAUGCUAUUGUUUUAAUGAUGAUGCUACUGUGCCAGGUGUUUACUUCCUUUUUUUUCGCAGUAGAAACAUGCUCUAAUUUGCGUACUUGUUGGAUAAUUUGUUGCAUAUGCAGUUGAUGGCCAUUCCCGUACAGUUAAGGAUUUUAGCAUUGACUGCAACACCAGGAUGUAAGUCUUAAGAUGCAAAAUACCAGCCAGGUUAUGCAAUUCUUGUACCCUUACUGUGCACUUUGUCAUUCAGCAAAACAGCAAACAAUCCAGAAUGUCAUUGACAACUUGUGCAUUUCAACCUUGGAAUAUCGUAAUGAAAGUGAUCAUGAUGUCAGCCCAUAUGUGCACAAUAGGCAACUUGAAGUGAUACAGGUACAUGCAGGAUUGUUAUGGAUAUUGUCUGUCAUAUGGUGCAACUAAAUUUAAUUGCAAAAUGGCAGGUCUCUAUGGGUGAUGAUGCGAUUGCUAUCAAUAAUCUGCUGUUGGAAGUUAUACGGCCUUAUGUGGCUCGAUUAUGUGCCAUUGGGGUACUCCAUAACAGGGACUCUGCAACAGUAUGUCACAGCCCUUUUUCUGUUUGUUUAUAUUUAUAUGUGUUCUUUCUAUAGGCUGGUCAAUGUGGAUUAUAAAACCAGUCGAAUGUGCCUUCAAUGUUGUGUUAAGGAGCUAAGUCACUUCUUGCAUGGUGGAGAGUUUACUGAAUUGUGGAUGUUUUUAUACCACCGGUUGAAUAUAAUAUUGGAAGUGCUCAGGUUGUCAACAAAAUUUUUUCUAGAUUGUAUUAUUCUUGCAAACUUGAUACACACAUGAAUCUUCAGUAUCUAAAGAUAAUGCCUGUUUAUGGGAAAAAAUGACAGUGGAAUACUUUGAACAAUUUGUCAAAAACUCUGUAGAAAAAGUCCUCAUUUAUCUUUCACUAGACCAUCAAGGCUUAAAUGCAACCUUAUCACAGUACGCAGAUGAAGCACGUUGUUAUAUUUUCUUACCAUAAUGAAAUAUCAAUAUUACCAUUUAGCAGGUAUUAAGCUAGUAAAUAACAAUUUGCGAGUUCCUCAUUUUAUUUAUUUCAAGAGGAGUGUGUGUAGGGGUAGGGGCGGCGGUGGUGGUUGUGGAGCAGUGGAGCUUGGAGGUUAUUCCAAAUUUCGGAAUAUGUGCUCUGAAUUUUGAAGCUAAUGAUAUCUGAUCUACAGCAUCAUCGCGACUCAAUGACUCUUAAUUAUUUGUUUCUUUAUCACUUUAUCACUUCAUGUAUUGCAGAAGAUCACACUACUUACCAAGUUUUUUAUCUUUUCAUUUAUUCACAUUUCUUGUGCUGAUUGUGCACUAUUUCAUUACUUCUUAUUGCUAGUUGAGCCCGUGUGAGUUACUGAAUUCAAGGGAUAAAUUUCGGCAAGCACCUCCAUCAAAUCUUCCUCACACAAAAUAUGGAGAAGUUGAAGGGUGUUUUGGAGUUCUUAUCACCCUUUACCACGUAAGGAAGUUACUUUCUAGCCAUGGUAUCAGGCCAGCAUAUGAAAUGCUUCAAGAAAAGUUGAAACAAGGGUACUUUUUUUCAUGUGCUUUCUAUAGGAAAUUUUGCCAAUCCAGUUAUUUGUACACUGUUUUUGCUAUCUGUUUUCUUCUCAUGCCAGCCUUUCAUAUAAAUCAUACUAUGCGUUGCCAUAAAGCUACUUGCUAUCUUAUAAGCACUGGAACAAUAUGUUCAAUGCAAGUCUCUUUCCAUAAUGUGUACCAAUCCCAUGUAGAGGCCUAGCUUUGUAGGCAACUCAUUCAUUUUUCAGGCCCAACCUCGUAUGCAUCUUUACAUAGUGUGGCGUCUUUCUGCUUUGCCUUGUGAGACUUCUCACUAGUUUAUGAUUUGACUUAUUAUUUUUAAUCAUACCUUGCAAGUCUCUCUUGGCGAGGAAGCAUAAGUGGGCAAUCACACAUUUUUCCUGCUUUCAAUUUGAUAAAUCAAUAUCUUUUGGAGAUGGAAAGACCUCUGUAUAGUUUUCAUCAGAUGCCUGUGCAAUUUAUUAAUGUCAGUUUGAGAUAGUACGCGUCCUCAGUAACUUAACAAUAAGAAGGGUAGCAGUUCUUGAUGACGUCGCACAAAUUCAGCUAUUCGUUGUCAGUGGCAACUUAACCUUACCAAUGGUUUUAUGUGUUUGAAAAUUUUCUUGAUGACAGCCCUUGAUUUGCAUAUUCUUUUUCCUCUAGUGAAUUUGCUUUUGUUGACCUUUGAGCUGGUUUCUGUGAAGGUCAUUUUCAAGGCUAAUGUCAAGAAAUGAAACCAUGUGGAAAGCAAAGCUUUUGAUGCAACAAAACUUGUCUGUUGGUGCUCCAAAUCCAAAACUAAUGAAAAUGACAGAAGUUCUGAUUGAUCAUUUCAGUAUGUGGAUUUCUAGUUCAAUCUUCAUUAAUAUUAUUUGUGCAUUUGUAUACUUUUGGAGUAAUACAUUUAUGUACAUGCUUAAUUUAAGCGAGCAUUUUGUAACAGUAUAAUUUGCCUGAUUCUAUUAUUUUAUCUUCUUAUAUCUUUUUGUGCUCUUAAUACUUGGUAUUAAUUGGGUUCCCUUGUAAAUUAUUGCAACUCUGAAAUCCUUCACUUUUUUUGCCCAGUGCAAAAAUAACAUUUAGCUUUUGUGAUCAUUUUUAGCCACUCAUUCAAUUUUGAAUGGAUGGUCAAUUUUGCGUAUGCACAUUAUAUAUACUUGUCACAUUUUGUAGACACUACGGCUGAGCUUAGGUUAUACUGAGCUAAGCUUGAGCCUUGUAGCCCUUGCCUGAAAUCUUUGGGCAUCAAAUAUAUCAGCCAAGGCACAACAUGAAGCCUGCACCAGAAGGCUCACACAGAAACCAAUUUUGGCUUGGUCUGAGCCUGUAUUUCAACCGUAGAUCUUUACCGGAUAUAGAAAGUCAAGCCAGAGCUUUUCUAAUCUCCAUUUCUUCUUUUAUGUUGCUGGUUUUCUACAAGUGUAAUAUUUGUUUGUCCUGGUGCAGGAAAAAAAGAUCCCAAGGACUCCAGGGUUAUCAUCUUUUCCAAUUUUAGGGGCAGUGUCAAGUAAGAAGUUUUCUUAUCAAAAUUUUGCUUUUUCCGAAACUUAGUGCUUUUUUUCUUCAUAGUUGUUAUCUCUAUUGUGAUCUGUCAGUUUAAAUAAUGUGACGUACUUUUUUGCUGUAACUUGCGUGACAUUAGUACAUAUUGAAAGAUCAGGUGUGUUGACGGUGUAUGAAGGUACUAAAACUUUUUGCCAUUUAGAUGACCUCAUGAAGUACUUCUACCAUUCUACGGAGAGUUGCAUGACAUUAGUAUAAAGCAGGCACAGCUUUUACCACUAAUUAGUUUGGAUGACGAUAUAUUUUGCAACUGCAUUAUUGAUUUUUUAAGAAUAAAGUUACUUUCCGCUGUAAAGUUGCACUUUUGGAACUUAGCAUAUAUACCUCACUGUUAACAUUAGGUUGACAUAUGGUAAAACCAAUCCACUAACUUUUUCCAUGGCUUCAAGUUUUAAUAUACUGCUGUUGGCAUUCAGAGGCUCUAAUUGUUUUUUCCCCCAUUCUUUUGUGGUCUAAACAACAUGAAAGUCCACAUACUUUAUCUGAUAUAAAACUUAAAAUCUGGUGCUUGAUUUCCUCUAUAUUGCCUUUAUUGGAAAAACAACUCCAUAGCAAGCAUUUAUUUGUCUUUUUUUUCCUUUAGGAAUAAAAUACAGUGUGUUCCCAGAUGCAUUGUGAUAUCUGACUUCAAGUAUUUAACCAAAGUUGAGAUACAGUCGUUGGUUUCUUCCAUUGCCUCUACUGGCAAACAACUCUCCCUUUGAUUAAUGCCUAUUCAUCCCCAUUCCUUUAUCUGCUUCUUCGCUGAAUUAAUUGGUAGGAUUGACUUAUGACUUCAAAUUAUCUCAGAGAUAUCAUGAAUUCGUUGGCAAAUGUUGGUGGCGACCUGAUUAAAGCAACUGAGUUCAUUGGUCAAAGUUCAGGUUUGUUAGUAUCUUUUUGCUUGUGUGCUUUAUUUUAUUUUAAAAAAACAUGCAUAAAAACUAGGAUCUAGCGUCUGGGCAGUUUCUUCUAUCGGUAUCUGUUUUUUGUACUUUAGUAAUUUGAAAAUGAGCAAGGUAAAGAUUCUCAGAUGCGUGCAUAGGACACGCUUUUAUGUGUUCUCUAUUUUCAAUAUGUCCUAUUCUGACAAUAUGGCCCUCUAAAGGCUAGAACAAUUAAGCUUUAGGAGUAUCUUCACAUUGAAAGAAUUUAUGGAUAAUAAAUAACAUUUGUACAUCUGAAGAUAUAGCAGGCACUUCUAUUAUCCAUUCAUGCAGGAAAUGCUUACUACUAAAGUACUAAUUUUCUUUUAUUAGUUUAUUUUGCCAAAGCAUUCUCUCAUUUGUCAAGUUGGUUUGACAGAAGGCAUGGAUGCAUUCUUGUAUAUGACAUUGUAUAACUUGCUAGAGUUCUUGAAAUUGCUUGACCUUCUGCAGGUAAAACGUUAAAAGGGCAAACACAGAAGGUGCAACAAGCUGUUUUACAGGUAUGCAAAUAUUCUGCUUGAUAUUUGCAAUACAUACAGCGAAUUUUCAGCUUGACUUUCAAUUUCUCCACAGAAGUUCCGAACUGGCGGGUACAAUGUGAUUGUUGCCACAUCAAUUGGUGAGGAAGGCCUGGAUAUUAUGGAAGUUGAUCUUGUGAUUUGUUUUGAUGCCAAUGUCUCUCCUUUAAGAAUGAUCCAGCGCAUGGGAAGGACAGGAAGGAAGCACGAUGGCCGAGUUGAUAUCCUUUUCUAAUGCCACAAUUCAUUCAUUUUCUUAAUAUUCUUGCUUAAAAUGUUCCCUUAACUGUUAACACUGGUUCUAGCUUGUGAAGGGUCCGAGCUGAAAGGAUACUUAAAAAAGCAGGCAAGCAGCAAGUCUAUUAGGAAGCAUAUGAAUAAUGGUGGACUCAAGAGCUUUGAUUUCCAUGCUAGUCCUAGAAUGGUAAGACUAUUUGACUUGUCAUUUGUACUUUACCAUAAUUAUCUGCUCCCUAUCUUUCCAGAGCCAACCAUAAAUAUUCUUCACAGAUUCCACACAUAUGCAAACCAGAGGUUCAGUUUGUUGAACUAUCAAUAGAGCAAUUCAUUCCUCGUGGAAAGAAAGUGAAAACUGAUGCAUCAGAUAAACCACCACUUCUGAAGAACAUUUCAGACACAGAGAAUAAGUUAAUUUCUAAGUACUUCCAUCAUGCAUGGAAACCAUCUCUUAUUGCUUUUCCCAGUUUCCAGACUUUCCCAUGUUGUGUACACAAUGUCCAGCACUCGUUCAGAACAACAGCUAUGUUGAUUGAUGCCAUGCAACAGCUUCAAGGGCUAUCAUUUUCUAAAACUAUGAAUGAUCCUUCUCCAGCUCGAUCACCCGGUCAGCUUUCUAAACUUAUGGUUAUUUUCCAUUACAGUCAUCACUGUAGUCAUUGUCAUAAUGAAAAUGCAAUAGCUAGGGCACUGUUGGAAUUAUUAGUUUCCGAUAUUAGACUAUGGAAUCUUAAUUUCAAAACCAACUCAAAGGUGGGUUCUUUUUGAAGUGUCAAAGGUAGGAUUUAAUUGAGAGAGGUCCUGAUCGUUUGGGGUUUAUGAGAACCAAUUAGAGGGUUGGGUAAUCUCUUGUAAGGCUACAUUAACACCAUUAGAUUUUCAUGGUUGGAGGUUGAAUCUUUGGAAGAAAAGCCUUUGAUAAAGGUUUUGAGUGAGAAUACUUGAUAUCUGAGUGAAGUAUUUUCUUUUUCUUUCUUUUUUUUUUUGUUUUUUCCCUUCUUUCAGUUCUUGGAAAUUAUUGUAGUGGUAAGGUAUAUAUAUAUAUAUAUAUAUAUAUAUANUAUAUAUAUAUAUAUAUAUAUAUAUAUAUAUAUAUAUACCUUCGUUCUAGUUAGCAACUAAGUUAUUAGAAGGCAAAAAAAUUUUACACAAUCAGUACUUGACACCAAAAUGCAUUUGCAGAUCUCCCUGGUGAUAACAAUGUUUGGGAAAAACAGCCUCAGGAGAAAGUUGGUCAGGUUGAAGUAUUCUCUAGAGAGGUUUUGGAAUGUGAAAGUGGCCUUUGUAUGCCUGAUGCUGUGGCUCAGAAGCCUAGUGCUCAUUGUUUUUUAUUCGGUGGAGAUUUUGUGAGCGUGAGUGCCAUAGGCUGUGUUUCCGUUGCAUUUGUACCUUCCCUUCCACUAAAACUAUCUGAAAUCCCAAAGGUCGCAACAGCUGAAAGUGAUAAAGAACUUCAAAGCAACUUGAGGAAAAAGGUUACUUCUUGGAAAGCUGCUGAAGCACACAAUAAUAGGUCAACUACUGAGGUUGAACAAUCUGUAGAAGUUGAAGGCUCAUCAAAAUCAAAGAGCAUGGACAAUGAACAGAAUUUAACAUCAUAUUCACCAGAAUUUUCUGGGCAUAAUGAGCACAGUAAGUUUGUGCUUGAAACACCGGUGUGUAAAGCGAUCACACAUGUUGAGGACAGCACUGGAACACCUGGGAAAGUGGAAAUUAUGGAUCUAGCUUUGGUAGGUGGUGAAUCAAGAAAAAGUAUUGGAGAUAUGGAGCUUAGUCCUAGACUUACUCAUUAUAUAGAAGAAGGUAUUGUUCCUGAGUCUCCCAUGGUAAAAGUUAGCCAUUGUCCACUCAAAGUCAAGAGUAUUAUGAAGUCUGCCAGCCUGCCAUUGGAGAAUAACACGGAUAAACGUGGAAUGCAUCACAUCCAAGAUAGUGUACAUGACACUGAAAGAAAUGUGGAUGUGCUUGUCUCUCCUUUAGAUGGGAAAUUAGAAACUCCUUUGGCAAAUCCAAGGAACAAUAGCUCCAGUGAAGGCUGGCAGUUGAGCUCUGGAGGUGCCUCGCGAUCAGUCCAGCGAGCACCUAAGUUUAAAAGAUUGUGCAAAUAUGGAGAGAAGAUCAAACGGCUCUCUUGCAGGAAUUUGGAGGAAAAAUAUGAUAAGCGUGUACAAAAGAGCCAUCGGUCCACGGUAAAUCAACCGGAGAGUGUCAGAGGUAAGAUUAACUUAAUGUUCUCUUAUCCCUAAAUUCAAGUUUUCUAAAAAACAUUUCUCCACUAACUUUCCUGGAAUAUUAUAAGUUUUACCACAACUGUGGCUUUUUCUUUUUGUCUCAUCAACCAUUUGGUAUCUAUCCAAAAAAGAGCUUUCAACUGAUAUUGCUGCACUAGUUCCUCAGAAUAUUAUUCUUUUCCAACAUGCACGGGUUAAUCAUGUUCAUUUAGCUAUUUAGCACUUGAUAAUUUUGCUAUGCAGGUAAAAAGAAAAGCAAAAGAUGUGGGCGUAUGUUCAUUGAAGAGGAAGCUGAGUAAGACCAUCUUCCUAUUUUACUCUCAAAAACUAUUACGUAAAAGAAAGUUGCAUCCAAUGUGCCGGCCCAUUUUAUUUGCUGCAGCAUUUUAGGUUGUGGUCUUAAUGUUAAGAUUUAGGCAGUCAAUCUAAGAGAUAUUCUAAUUGCAAGUAUUAACCCUGUACAGGAUAUCUGAGGAUGCAGUAGUUUCAGAAGAUGAAGAAGAUGAAAAUGAGGGUGAAUAUGAGGACAGUUUCAUUGAUGAUAGUACAAAUCCUACUGAAGCAUGUACUCAUGUGGAAAAUAAUAGGAAUGACAUGAUGGCCUUUUAUAGGUAAUUGAGGACCUAUUAUCUGCAAUUUAUUUAUUUUUUAUAACUUUUUUGAAUGUUAAUCUAACAAAAUAGUGAUUGAGCAUUGAUCAUCAUCAUUUGACAUGCCAAAUUAUUUUCUGUUUAAGAGAUGGACCUUGGGGUCAUUUUCUUCCAGUAAUGACUGAAACACUACAUGUAAAUGCUCGAUGAACAUUAAUCAAAUGGAUUUUAAUUUGGAGCUAACAAAUCGACCGUUCCUUUCUAGACCUUCUUUAGUUGUUUUGAUGACUGACUACUCAGCUACUAGUUACAACAUACGAACAUGCACACGCACAUGGCUAUAACGAAAACAAGCAUGCAUGCCAACACAGACAUCAGAUCACAAUCACUUAUGUGCAUGGGCACAAAAUGUGUAGAUAUUGAGUGACAAACUUAAAUUCACUCACUGAAUCAUCUUAAUGUUAUUUUAGGCUUACUACUGCACUGCAACUUCUAAAUGUUUCUCUUUAGUCUGAAUAUGAUUUUCAGAUGCUGCUAAUUUCAUGCAGGCGUUCUUUGCUCACCCAGUCGCCCUUAGAAACUCUUCCAAGAUGCCUGGCUGCCUCAUAUGAUUCUGUUUCCUCGAGGAAGUCAGAAAGUGAAAGCUGUUCCUCAGAAAAACAUAAUUCUUCUAUCCAUACUCAGUAUGGCCUACCCUCUACGGCACAUUCCACCGAAAGGAGGGCUCUAACCUCCACUGCCAUGAAUGAGAUUGGUGAAACAAGUAACAACCAAAAAGAUAUCUCAGCUAAACUUGAGAGCAGAAAAAGAAAGUUAAGCUUUCAGCAUGCUGCCUCGAUGCCUGUUACAAACUUCAAGCCACCCUCGGAGUGCCAAUCAGGGAAUGCUGAAGUUAAUGAUAAGUUAUUUUUUGAUGAUGAUUUCUAUUUGAGUAUUGAUCUUGAUGCAGUGGAAGCACAAGCCACUGAAUUACUAAAGGUUAAGUCUGGAGUAUCUGUUGGAGAAACACAAGCAAUGAAUCCCGAUAACUCUAUUGGAAUUAAGAGAGACUUGGGCAUGAGUUGUCCUGGUUCCCCGUCUUUUGAUUUGGGAAUCUGAGUGUCAUAUUUUGAACACCCUUUUUGAUUAUUGAUGAUCAGAGGCUAGUUCCGAUGGUAGUAGUCUGAUGUCCUUGCAAGUGGCAACACAGCUUCGGCUCAUAUGCUUGCCAUAGCAUAAUUCAGUGGGCCUGUUUGAAAAGUUGAUGUGAAAAAUGAAGGAAUUGGGCUUCCGGCGAGAUAUUCAGAUUGCGUGUAAGGGAGCUUGGAAGAUUUGGAUCUCAUGCCAAAUCCUAUCUAUGCUCCGUGCCUCAACAAUGGUGGUGCUUAUUGGUGAUAUAUAAGUUACGCGAGUCGCGGUCUAGAGACCAGAGGUAGUGGUGGAAGAUUGGAUUGGCGCGCACAUCUUUUGUACAAUGGAAAGACAAAUUACAGGAAAGAAUGUGCAGUUUGUAUACAAAGCUUGUAAAGUGUGAAUAGUAACCAGCAUAAAGAAAUCAGUGUUUAAUUUAAUCUACAUGUUGGCCUACGGGCAACAGGCUAUACUCGUCCAAAAAAUAAAAGGGCGUACAGCUGUUAAUAUUUACUCUAUUGGAAGACCCAAGAUAUAUAGUGACCAUGUACGAUGUGCUUGAAGACCAAUGGAAGUAGUAAGCAGGCAUGAAUAAUUUUCUGUGGGUGAGAUGAGUAGAAUUCUAGAAUUGGUUCAUUGACUGGUCGCAUGUUGCACGUGCCAAGUACUAACAUCACAUUUUCUGCUGGGUUUAAUAUAUUACCCUCUUCUCUGGACUCUGGAGUUGAAUUAUUAUAGAAAUGGUUUUCUGAUACGGAAGCUCUCAGAUUGCAAGAAAUUUGCAGGAAGCUCUCAAAAUGUAAGAAAUUCGUUGCAUCACUUUCGUGUAAGAUUUGUAGUUUCCAUGCCAGUUAGAGGUACUCACUCCUUAAAGUUGUUGUAUAUGCGUAAUGCAAUGCAAAGAUACAAUUGCCGGUACAUUUACUUUCUGUAUAACAAUGCAUAGAUAAAGCUGACAGUUAAAGAAAGGGCCACCGCAGUAUCUAGACCAUGGAAAGAAAAUGCAAAUUGCAGUUUAAUUUACACAAGCAUUUAGAAGUGCAUCAGGAAGCAUAUCAAGCAUACGGAGCUAUCUUUACUUUCAACAAGACAAAACUUGCUUUUGGAUGAGCUAAAACAUUAACCUCACAUCAAAAGCAAAAAGAAGCGUAUCUAGAACUAGCCGAACUGCUAAGUUGGGACCGUUCAUCUCUUUCCGUGAACAACACACGAUUCGUCAAACACGAACAAAGUGGAGAGACUUUAGGGCUGCCUCAGGUAGAUGCCCAUCUUGGGGAACCCAAACACCACUGUUAUAUGGAAGUACCACUUGUUGGUUGGUAUUCUUCCUGUCGGUGCUAGUUUCUCCAAAUGAGUCUGAAUUCUUUCUCUUUACAAACUCAAAGAAUUCUGCAACUUGGCGAGCAUACCUAAAAAAGCAAUCAAAUUUAACAUUAUGUUGAGGAAAUCAUUAAUCAUCAAAACCAUCAUGCUGUUUAAAUCAUCACUUCCUAUAGUCAACCCUUCAGCAGAAUUGCCCAAAUAUGAACUAAUAUGAUUAAAAAAACACUUUCUAAGAAUUCACUAGUCUCCAAUUACAGCAAGAACAUCCAUGAACUAUUUGGGAUAAAUGAGAACUUACUGCCUCUUAGCUUCAAUAUCCUUGCUGAAAUCUAUGUUGGGUUCACAAUCCAGCACCAAUGCGGGAACCUGCUCAAAAACAGAAUAUAUAAUUACAUGAGAAGUUCGAAUAGAGAGUGAAGAGGGAGAUCUAUCAAUACUAUACCUUUUGAAUACUUGAAUGCAAAUGAUUGCCUUCCAAAUAGAAUACACGGUCUCUUAUAUCAGGAUGUAAGGAACUGUCCAUAUGCUUGGGUAGCUGACUGACUGAAAGCACACCAUGGUUUCCACUUUGAAAGGGGAAUAACCAGCUUUCGUGUUUUUCAUGCAAGCCCCUUAGAUAAUCUAAGGACACACCACCUUCUUCAGCUCUCUUGCGUAGCAUCAUUCUCUUGUGGCAAGUAUCAGGGCUAGCCCUAAGAUAUAUGAAUCCAUCAGGUAUAAGGCCUGGCAAACUAGAUACAACAGGAUCAAACCAAGAGUCAUAGAUACUAAUUUCCAUCUCAUUCAUCCAAUUAGCUUCAUGAACGGCCCGCACAAAGACCUGACAUUUGAAAAUUCAGUUUAUAGAGAAUUUAAUUACUACUCCUAAAAUGAAAGGAAAAUCUAAUUAUUACUAAAAUGAAAGGAAAAUAGACUAAGUGCUUUUUUGGCUUGGAUUCUGGGGAAGCUUCUUUACUUUGAGAAGUACCAGUUAGGUUCUUGCAAGCAAAACCUGCUGAACAUUUGUUGUAGCAGGCAACAUAGGUGGGCUUAUAGGCCCCCAAACCAGAAGCUCCAAUAUAAAGCUUCUGAUGUGGCUUCUAAGCAAGCAGCUGUUGGAGAAGUUUUUAAAUAAAAAAAAAAACAAGCCAUUAGUGCGACUUCCAACAACUCGUCAGACAGCACUUUUGCUAAAGCUCUAGCAUGGUCAGACGGAUCAUAAAAAGAGAAUGGUAAACAAAUACAACAGGCUGCAAUUUUAGAUGGAAAUUUACAAAAGCAUGACCAAUAGUAGAUUCAGUACCAUUCGAUCGCUGAAAACACUUCUUUCCAUCAGCCUCAGAGGCUUGAUUCCACCAGCUGAUUCUCUUUCCUGCAUUACUCUCGUCACGAACACAUAGUUCUGAAAGGUGUACGCAUACCUUUGUGGCUCAGCAUAAAAGGCAUCCAGUAUAUUGAAGUGUUCAGGACCGACAUCCUGCCAUUUUGCGAUAGGCUCGGGCACAAUCUCUACAAGAUCUCGUAAUUCAAAUGUCUCGUUAGCUAUUCUUUGCAAGAAAGUGGUUUUCCCUACACUAAUAUUUCCCUCAACACAGAAAGUCAGCCUUUUCUUCUGGGUAGACUUAAUUUCAGAGUGGGGAUUCUCCUCUUCUAACUCUUCAUCCACACUCUCUUUGAUAAAAGUUGUUAUACUCUCUGCAUGGUUCUUAUGGAUGAUUCCAACUGAGCUACGUAAAAACUCAACCAUCUUCUCACUAGAUUUACCAAAGAACUGCACAUAUAGGAAAGUGUGGAUAUAAACAAUCAUCAAAUUGUAUCUCGAACCUUAAGUUGAAGUUCCGAAGAUCGUAUUUCAUCAUCCUAACCUUAUGUUUAACCAGUACUCAGCAGGAUAACUUAUAUUCAACUUCAUAACAAGAACAUGCAAUAAAUGAACAAAUUACAGAGAUAUAUAGGAAGGAAAUGACCACAUACCUUGUCCCUGUAAAGCUGUUUGAGCUUAGCAACUCCACUAUAACCCUUGUCCAUGAGCUUCCGAAGAUUCCGAGGCCCGACCCCAGGAAUCGUCAAGAGCUCAACACUCUCCGCAGGCGGAGCAUUGAAACCCCCACUCCUCACCCUCCGCUCCACUCUCUCAUGCCCUUCUAGGGCUUUCCUCUCCCCUUCCCCAACCUCCUCUCCCUUCUCCUCCGCUUUUCCUCUCUCCUCCACAUCAAACCCACUAACACACUCACCCUUCUCCCGAUUCCUCAGCCCCUCGGCCGCCCUAAAACCCCGCUCGCCGCCGCCGUGCGACCAGGCGCCGAACGGCGGCGCCUGAUCUCGCCGCAAGAGCGGCGGCCACGCACAUUUCGACCGCAGGCCACCGCAGUAGCAGAUAGAGUGCGUGGUGGUGGUCCGGUUCGCGGCGGCGGCGGCGGCGGCCGCGGCACCGUGGGAGGGCGGCGGCUGAAGGUGGAGCGCGCGCAUGGAGAAGCGAGAGAGGGGAUUGAGCCGAAGAGCCCUCACCUCAAGCCACCCCGCCGUGGAGAGAACGGGGCCGGGGACCGCGGCGGCGCACCAGAGCUUCUGCAUCCCUAGAAGCGGCGGUGUUCAUGAAUGAGAGGGAGGGGAAUGGAGGUUAGGGUUUCUAAUUUGGGGGCGGGGGAGGGGGUGUGAGAGAGGAGGAGCCAAGGAGAAGAGAGAUCAGGGUUUUAGAGAGAGAGGGAGAGAGAGAGAGAGAGAGAGCGCGCGCGCGGAGCUCGAAGGUCGAGAGUUAUUAGGGUUUUAGGAAUGGAGGGAAAAGGGUGAGGCGGGUGUUCGGAGGUGGAAUGGGGAUUUUGACUAGGGCGCGCGCCAAGGGAGAAAAUUAACGUUGGGCCUAGAGAAUACUAAAUGAGUUGGCCCGGCCGAUUAAGCUUAUAGCCCUAUCCAAACUGAAAGAAGGGCUUGGCCCACUAAGUUUGGGAUCACAAUUUCGAUCCGUGAGUGGCGUAUGGGCCCCUUAUGGUCCGACCAAAACUUGGCUCAGUCCAUAUGGUUGUGUGUGAACUGCAAUUUAUAUUAUAGUGUAAAACAUAUAAAUAGUCGCUAUGCUACACAGAUAUUCCAACUUGGGUCUCAUACUUUCUAUCUAAACUUUCACAUAUAUUAUGCUGGGCAAUUAUAUGCUUUAGUACUUGGAGCCAAUUCAAAUGUUUGUGUUUGGUUUACCAGAUUGUCCGAAACUAAAAGAGUUUUAUUUCAGCCUUGCGCAGUAGUCCAUAAUGCCCCUUAUCCAAAUACUACUAAGACUUUCUUUGUGAUUAAUCGUUGCAUUAUGUCCAGUAAAAAUGUACGAUCAGUAAAAAAAAGUACGAUGAGAAAAUAGAGAAGUAUACCUCUACAUCUAUCUUUGUUUAUCAACUCUUUCUGCUAAGUAGCAUUAGAUAAACCUUAAUAUCAAACAAGCUCUAGGAUGUAGUCAGUCGCGCUUUUAAACUAUGUGAUGUAUUAAUUCUUUUCCUUUCUUCACUAACUCACAUUUAACAUUAGGGCAUAUUUGGUUCAUGAUUAAAAUAGGAAUAUCAAAUGAAGUAGGAUUGCAUCGGAAUAGAAAAUGGAAUGACGAAUCAUUCAAAGGUUCAUUAUUGGAAUGGAAAUUGGAAACAAUAUCUAGGAUUUUGUGAGGGUUUUGGUUGAGAGAGAGAAGAGUGAUGAAGAGAAAGGAAGAGGAGAUGUUUAUGAGAAAGGAUUUUGAGUGAUUUACUUUGAAAUGAGGCCAAUUCAGGAUUCAAAAUUGAAUUGGGUCAUAAAUGGAUUGGGUCAUUCCAAUUCUACAGUGGAAUAAAAAUCGAAAUUCGAUUUCUGUAAAAUAAAAACAACUGUUGAAAUUAGUAAAUUCCAUUCUAAUUUCGUAGUCUAAAAUAGAUAUAUAAAUCAAACAAACCCUUAGAGGGUUUGAGUGACUUAAGUAUUAUCCUGGUCAAUUGCAGGGUGGAGGGAGCAACAUAAAACACAACUUACAUGAAAUAAUACUCCUACCUGCCCAUAACAUCAGUGGCCCUUACUACAGGAAUUUAAGUUGUUGGUCUACACUCAACACUUUGGGCCAUGGAUUAUGGCUAACAGUGUCCUAUGUUGGGCAGCAGAGUGCAAUUAUAUGGAGCCCCAGUAGUUGGUGCACCAUAUUUCAUACUAUGAGAGCCCCUACCAUUAAAUCAACUGGAAUUUUGGUGUGGCAUGAAUAGUGGUUUGGUGGUAGAGUUCUCUAGGUGGUUUGUCAAAUUUGUACCAUUUGUUGCUUCUUGAUUAAAAAUUAAAUGAACAUGUAAUAGUUUUAUGAACCCCCUAAUAUCUUUGGAGGGUUUUUUUUUUAAAAAAAAAAAAUUCUUUCCAUAUUGGAUUAGAAUUUUCAUGCUAAGAUUCCUAAAAAUGCAUCCCUAGCAGAGCUUCUUAAAAGUGUCUGAUAUUGUAACAUAGUGAUAGUCGAAGAGUGAUAGCUAUAUAUAGUUUACAACAAAAGAAAUCACAAUCUAAUUAAGUAACUUUGAUUUAUUAGUAUGCCUUAACCAACUUGUAAUGUUCUCCUCCUUUAGGAAAAGCUUUUUCACUCAUCUAUAGCGACUUCACCUUCACCAACACCUCCCUAGGCCCAUGCUAAAAUAAGAACUAUAUAUAUAUCUAGGCUAAUAGAAGAAAUGAAGUUGGUGGAGACUAUGUGUAGGACCAACCAUGUGUAUGAACUCUAAAUUAAUCCUUGUUAAGUUUCUAUAUCUUGCUCAUUAGGUGACCUAUCAACAUUAAUAGCAUUCACAAUUUCUUAAUUGGACAUCAUGCAACUACCAUGCAUAUGUAUCACCAAGAAAUCCUCUCUAUUCUCUUUUCUCAACAGAUUAGAUUUUUUCAUUAAGCAUUUAGUUUACUUUUUAGUCGAAUUAUAUGCCUAAAAAACGUCCUUUAUGCAAAGUUAAUUAAUGAAGCUGAAUAAUUAGGUCUCUUCUAGCUAUGACAUCGAUCUACUUGUUCUUUUUUAUUCCUUAACCUCAAGUUCUAAUGUGAUUGAAUGCAUUGAUGGAUGUCAUCUUUCCCUUAUUGUUGUUUAAUUUGUUUGUACUGUGCCCCAGUCGAAUGCUAAAUGGCAAACUUCAAACAAUAAAAAGGGAAAAGAAAAAAAAAAAAGAAGCUAAAUUCUUGAUCUUUGCUGCCAAAAGAAAAUUAUAGGUGUUUAGAUGGUAAACAAUAUUCAACAAAUCACGUGUAUUUAAUUGCCUAAAAUUUAAGUUUUUUUUAAAAAGUGUAAAUAUAACCAAAUAAAAUGAAGCCUUAAUAAUGAGCAACUGUUUUUUUUUUAUGGAAUUAUAUUUAUCCAGCUCUUCUUAUAGAACAUUACUUAAUCCACUCGCAAUGCCAUAUGAUGAGUACGUGGCAAGAGAUCAUACAUAUAAAACUAGGUAUCUAAGCUGUAGAACACUUCAGGUAUUAAGCAAAAACAAAAAAUCUUACUGUUCAGAUUACCAACAUAUGAGAACAACUCCAUCAACUAAUUAAUUCCUCGCUUAAUUAUCUGCAUAUAAGACAAAUACAAAGGCUUAAUUACCAAACUAAAAAGAAAAGGAAAAAAGAGAAAUAAAAUGUACAAUGCAAGAGUCCUGGAGUUGUAAGUGAGGAAGUCAAAAUAUGUAAAGCACUGGAAAAGCAUGUUUGGGGCAUUAAAUUGAGCUUUAGAUUUUUGAGUGCAAUUCAUAAGUGCAUGUUACCAAUUAGAGAAGUUAGGUAUAAAAAAGUUGAAGCCAAAAGAGGGAUUAAUUCCAUAAAAAUGUAACAUCUAGUGACCAUCCUUAUAGAAAGACAAAAGUAGGGUCAGAAAAUAUAUAGAGAAAUGAGGCUAUGAGUGUUUGUUUCUGAUAGGCAUUAAGUAGUCUCUAAGCAUAAUAUACUCUAAAGGGAAUAGGAUCUUUUCUUCGUAGAAUGCUAGGUAAUGAAAGCCAAUAAAAAUUAGUAGUUUAAUAAUUCUCAAGGCAAAAAACAACCAUCUUCCUUUGUUAUCAUUCUAUUGCUGGUUAGUCAUGAGUCCAAACAUUCCUUGUUUCACAUAUCUCUUGUCGAUGUAUGCUAUUAUGACUUAAGACGCAGUGUGUUUUCACAAGGCGCUCUUUGACGAAGAGUUGUGUUAUAAGGAGAGAACAACUUCCUCCUAAGUAGGAUCCGAUACCGUGGUUCGUAGCCACAUGAAGAAUCUCCAAGAUCUCAAAGUUCAUAUGAAGUUCCAAAUAUUUCUGUUUGUCAAGCACUCUACGCACCAAAAUUAGAACAAAAAAAAAAAAGUUGGACAGCCGAAUAAGCACUUAUUAUUAAUAAUAUAUUCUUAAAGAGGAAAACCUUCCACUUAAUUAUUAUUAUUAAUAUAUAAUUCUUAAGAGGAAAACCUUCCUUCUAUGUAUGAGAAUCAAAGUAAAAGUUUUUACUGCAGAUGUCCCAUAUAUACUGUCCCACUCAAUAAUGCUAUUAUUUAACUUCUUUGAGAAUGAACUAAGUGAUGGUUGGUCACCUACGACAAAAUUUCCAGGCCUGCAUAAUUAAAGAAAACAAUACUUACUAUUCUUAUCUUCUAGAAUCUUUAGUUAAGGAAGGAAAUUAAGCACAUGCAAACCUUUAACUGGUUAGGAAACGACCCACCCAGUUAAAAACAACUCCAAGAGUAGUGGUGUAAAAAUUGUACCCAUUAAUGGAUUAAACACAACCACAUGAACAACUCUCUUGUUGUACUGCACCACCCAAAUGCUUUUAUUGCUAUUAAGACAAGGUUUGUUGAGCACUAAGUGGUGUGGGUAGGUAUAGCUCUAUGCAUGCCAUCUUAAUUUGUUUGCAUACCUAGAGAGAGAUUUAAUGUUGCAUGCACCAAGUCUUGAAAACUCAAAGUUAGACGUCUUAAAAUAUAAAUACAAGCUAUUAAAUAUAACCUAUAAUUUAUCUCUUGAUCAUUAAUUUAUUGACGCAAAAUAAUUUAGUGCUCGUAACAUAAAAGUCCGUAAUACAUUGUAAUUUUUAAGAAAUACCAAAUUUAAAUGCAUGCGGUGAAUCACAUCUGUAAUUUACAUUAGAUUUUAAGAGCUUUAUCCCUAAAUUUUGGAAAUGAAUAAUGCUUCACUGCUCCCAAUCAUAAAGGAAAGUAAAAUUUAGAAGACGAGAACAAUAUCAUCGAAAAAACUUACACAAUUCACACAAAUAUAGUAAUCAUGAGUAGACCUCAUAUACUGCUUAAUUAGAAUAACCACUGACAACUCCAGUUCAUAUUCUACUGUCAUCUACUAUAAAAAAAUAUAUAUAUAACAUUAUUCUCUUGAGAUCAACCUCAGUGUAUGGACCGCGGUGCAUGUAAUAAUUUCUCACAAAUUGGGGAGAGAGAGAGAGAGAGAGAAUCUAAAGAGGCAUUUAAGUGCUCUUCCAAAAUAGAACGCACGACAGCAGUAAAUGCAGGAAUUGACCCCAAUGAAAAAGGCCCUUUGCCCCAUUUUUUCCAACUAAGUAGUAAUGAACUUAAAUUCGAGCCAUUCCUUUUGGUCCACAUAAAGUGACCCCCGAACCCCUCCUUCCCCCCCAUGGCUCUUUGUGAUCCUACUCCCAACAAGUGGAUGUGGGUGGAGACCUUUCUCCUCCUUGGUAGCUAGCGUGGUCACGAGCCACUUGUUUGACUUAGUCAACAAGGCAACAUGAUGUAUACAUUUGGAAAUUGCAUUGAUAGAUUGGUAGGAGUACUCUGUGUAGAUGGGCAUUUAUUGAACCAAGUACAAAUAUAUACCUACCUAAUAUUUUGGAGUUGGACUUUGGAGUCCCUCUCUCUCUCUCUCUCUCUCUCUCUCUCUCUCUCUCAGUUAUGCAUGCACCCACCUAGUGUAUCCAUAAGGUCUCAAAGUUCAAAUCUCAUUUACUAUUGGAUAGAUUCUGUGAUACUUAGGGACAUUUCAUUAGAUAUAAUUAUAAAUAUAAUAUAGUUAGAUAUGCAUUCAAUUAGAAAUGCAACUUGCAACUACAUGUAUCCCAUUUAGUUAGAUAUAUAUAGUAGAAAUCAUUGUAACUAUAAUAAUUUAUUUGAUUGCACGCAGUUGAGAAAUAAUUUUUAAAAGUUUAUCAUUUUAUAUACAUAAUAGUGAGAUUACUUCCAAUGUAAUAUAUAUAUAUAUAUAUAUAUAGAGAGAGAGAGAGAGAGAGAGAGAGAGAGAGCAGGGCUACUGUGCUAUUAGGAGCACGGCAGUCCUUGUACUCCUAAGUUUUUAACCAUUCAUCAAUUUUGAUGGAUGGUUAGGGUAAGAGAGAGAAGAGAAAUUGGAGAGAAAUUAAGAUUCUCAAUUUCUCAACUUUUUAAAUAUCUUCUCAAUUUCUCUUCUCUCUCAUCCUAACCAUCCAUCAAAAUUGAUGGAUGGUUAGAAACUUAGGAGCACGAGGGCUACUGUGGCUCCUGUGCUAUUAAUAGCACAGUAGCCCUACUCUCUCUCUCUCUCUCUCUCUCUCUCUCUCUAUAUAUAUAUAUAUAUUGUUUAAAAAAUAAUUAAGAAGGUAAACAUAUUUUUUGUUUAAAGUUACUGUUUCCAACCGCUGCAGUUGGGUUUUCCCUUAUAAUUUCUACUGUAGCAGUUGAAGUUAAAUAUAUCAAAUUAAACAGUAAAUUUGUAUUUAUAUAUAGUUACAACUAUAACUACGUAUAAUCAAACGGCCCCUUAAAGUAUUUAUAUGCUGUUGAUCAUUCUGGAACUUUGGCACCUAAGAUUAGUUUUAGAUAGUGGUAAUAACAGUCUAUAUAUCCAAGUAGAUUUUAAUUUUAAAAUAUUAAUUAUAAAUAUAUGGUACGGUGCAGAAAAUUUAUAGAUGCUCAGAGUGUGUGCAAUAAUUUGAAAUUUCUCCUCUCUUUCUCUCUCUCGCUCUCUCUCUCUCUCAUAACGUAACCUGCUGAUACCUGAUUGUUCUUUUCUUAUCCUCCACUCACGCCUUGCCUUUUUAAGGGGUUUGGUUUGUAUGGACAGUAUCGGAACAGGGAAUGGUAGAUGAAGAGUGCAUUAAUUGAGCUCAAUAGUACCUCGGCUGGUGAUAUACCCCCACACAAAUUUAUUCUAUUAAAAAAUAUAAAAAUAUAUAAAACUUAUUUGAAAUAUAAACUAUUUUAAAUUAAUUUUUUAAUCUUUUUAAUUUUAAUUUUACUAUUCAUUUCUUUAAUUUAUUUGAUUUGAGUUAGUUGAUGUCACUUUCACUCCAAGAUUUAAAUUUAUCAUUUAUUUUUACAGAUUUAAUUAAUAUAUUUAAUAAAAUUUAUGUAACUAUAAAUUUGUUAAAGUGAAUAAUUAAUUUAAAUAUCGAAGUCAAUGUACUGUUGAUUAACUCAAAGCAAAUAGAUUGAAAGAUUCGAUAGUAAAAAUCAAAACUUUGUUAUAUUUCUGUUAUUUCUGAAUAAAGACAUAGGUCUAAGUUCCGUAUCUUUUCACGUAUAAAAAAAAGGGCUAUUUGUACAAUCUAUUAUAAGCUUACACUCCAUUCAAAAAUUUUACAAAAAUUUUGAAAAUAGAAUUAGUAUUAAAAAAAAUAAUGAGAUAAAUGAAUAAAUCAAGAUCUCUAACAUGUUAGAGUGUAAAAUUUAUACCUCAUUUAUAUAUAAGUUUACGGAGAGUAUUUUCGUAUUCUACUGCUUGCAGAUGGAAAAUAUCAAAAAACAUUUCACUUAAUUACUAAUAUUUAACUAGUAAAUUUUAAUUUACGUGACCACCAAUCAAUUGGUAUAUAUCUCCCCCUCCAGCAACAAGUCUCAGAUCAAAGUCAAGCUACGUACAAGUCUAAGAGUGUGCAUACGUUGGAGCCUACAUGCUUGUAUUUUUUCAUAUCAAACUAUACAUUUUUGGAUAGUUUAGUUCACUUAAUCAAAACCUUUGGUUUCAUUAAUUUCAAAAAAAUAAGUUAUCUAUUAAAUAAAUUAUUCAUCUCCUUUGUUUAGAUUAUCGGACAUUUAAUUAGUUUGCCUUUUAAUUAGAAACAAAACCUAAAUAUGGAAAAGAAAAAAAAUAUCUGGAAAAAUAAAAAGAGGACACCCCCCCAACCAAUAACUAAGAGGUAUCUGUUUCUCUCACUACCUAUGGUGACCCAAAAGGCCUAAUAGUUGGUUUUGGGUAUUUUUAAUCUAAUAAUUAAAAGCUUUAAAAAAAAAACAUAACAACAACAACAACAACAACUUAGGUAUGGUCCAUAAACCCUCUAGAAGUUGGUUAUACCUACCCGUUCGACACUAAUAUUGCCAAUAUUGACAUAAAUGAAUUAAAGUCCGCAAAGAAACAAAAAUUUAACUGUAAUGAAAAUAUCAUGUAUAUAUAAAGAGAGAGAGUUCAGCUAUAAUAUUAUUGAUAACACCAAACAGUUAGUACUAUCAAUUUUUCCACCGUUAGAUUUACUGUUUUAACUACUUCUAUUUAUUAGAUCGUAAUAUUCAACCAACCACAAAUUCAAUACUAGGGGACCACUAUCAUCCUAAGUGCACAUCGCUUCAUCCAAGAGCCAAAAACUUAAUAGCACUAAUGAUUUGGUGCUAUUAAUUAAUAAUAUUCGAGCCUAGUUCUCUCUCUCUCUAUAUAUAUAUAUAUAUGGAACUAGACUGGAAUACUAUCAAUAGCACCAAGCUAUUGGUGCUAUUAAUUUUUUAGUCCGUGAAUUGAGAAAUGGGCGGCUAGGAUGAUGUGGGCCCCUUAGAGUUAAGUGGGUGGUUGGUUGAAUAGUAUAAUCUAACGGGUAAAAAUAAUCAUAGGGUUAAAUAUAACGGUAGAAAACUCGAUAGCACCAAAUCUUUGGUGCUAUCGAUAGUACCCUAGCCGGAUUGACAUAAACACAAGAGCUAUUUAACUUAGUUAUAGUGACUAACAUAUACAUAUGAUUGAUUCUAAAAUCUAUUAUCUAUUAUCUAUUAAUUUACAUGAAUUCUCAAUGUUUGUUGCCACAUGACAAGUUUUCCUUCACCCUUAUUAGCAUGUGACUCUUCUUCUUCCUCUCACUAAACUUUCAAUGUACAUUUUAACGGUUCCACAAACAAAGCUUUCAAUUAAUAUAUUUAAAUUGUCCCACUAUCAUGUAUCAUUCUAUCGUUUCUAUCUACAAUUAUUCAUUAGGACCAUUUUCAUUCCCUCCACUAUACUUUCAAUUAAUGCAAACGAUUUCACUACCAAACUUUCAAUUAAUAUGCUUAAAUGAUCUCACUACUAUCUUACAAUCCUAAUCUCUUUAUUUCCAAUUAUUCAUUAUGGUCAUUUUCCUUCCCUUCACCCGACUUUUAAUUUUUUAUUGUCAAUCUAUUUAUCAAUUCUCCAUCUCUCAUCUUUUACUAUACACUAUCGUCUCCUUCUCUAGCUCCCUCCCUGUCUCUCACUAAUGCGCGCUCGCUUUUCCUUUCCGCCAUAACGUUUGGAGGAUAUAUCAAGUGAGAUACACAAGAAAAUGUUUAAUAUUUUUUUUAUUAUUAAUUACUAUUAUAAUUUCUAUCCGCUGCAAAGCGCGGGCCCUUCAGUAGUGAGAAAUGAAUUAAUAUGCUUCCUAGUUCCUCCAUCUUAUGUCAAAUAAUUUGAGACGUUGUUAAUUACGAAGCCAUUAAUUUGCUUCUGUUUUCACUUCAUGUUGACGCGAGGAGAAAAACCAUUUACUAAUUGUGUUGUUGUCCAUGAAGUUUACAUAUACUUACCUUUGUAACAAUUAGUCCACAAAAGCUGAAAGUUUUGUUAUUCUUUUUUUUUUUAGUUGACCAUGUUUAGGAGCAAUUGUUAUCAAGUUUUAAUGACGAUUAGAAGCAUAUCAUUUUCCUACGACUAAUAAUUUCCUCCCUACCAUCCUCUUCAUUUUUUUUUCUUCUUGUUUUUUUUCCAUAACCUAACUAUUCGCGUGCGCAAUCUGAAAUGCAUGUAUAUUUUCUUUUUCUUAAAAAAAAUUGACCACGGCAUAUAAAUAAUUGAGCUAUCCUUGUUGUAAAUUAUUCAUGGCGCAACUCUAGUUUGGCCCCAAAUUAUAAAUAAUUGAGUUAUGUCCAUGCUUAAGGCAGUGAAAGAAACCAAAAAAAAAUAAUAAUAAAAAAAUAUAAAAAAUAAAAAAAAAAUUGUAAGUUCAAAUUUUGUUCACCAACUCCUAUUAUUUUAGUGAUAUUUUAAAUUCCACAAUCCAGCAGCCGCACUAAUUAUCGCAGCAUGUUUCCACUUUUCUGCUACAUGAUAUGCACAAUUUCAGCAGGAUAAUUUUCAACGCAUAUUUAAUAGGGAGGCAAUAAUUUUUUCCUAAACCAUCAAAAUAAGUGGACUAAGUCCUACAACCACGAAACCACUCUACAUUUUCUACUCUGGGGAAUGGGACUCCCAUUUCUAUCCUCGCCCAACUCUUUUUCAUAUCUUUUCGCUCAAGAUCCACAUAGUAUUAGAGUCAAAGAUCACAUAUUCAAUUAUUGCAUAUUAUAAAUUUGUGCAGAUGCUGUCGUAAGUCUGAUUAGGUCGAGUCAUAAUCAAAAUUUGUGUGUGCGGUAUCUAUAUAUUUUAAGUGAAUUAAUUACAGAUUUCUACAAGUAGUAUCAGAGUUAGAGGUCAUGAGUUCAAUUCCGCAUAUAUACUACGAAUUUGUGCAGUGCCAAGAGGAGGGAAUUGUUGGCUCAGAGGGACCGACAUCCUAUCCUGUGGCAGGAGGUCGGAUUGGGCCGAGUUACAGUUUAAAUGGUGGGAGGUCGGAUUGUGCUGAGUCAUAUUCAAAGUAGCAUGAAGUCAGUUGGAGCAAGUCACAAUUGAGACUACAUUAAGUGAAUUUGUUGUAUGUUUUUGAUAAUUUGAGCUUUUGAAAUUAAUAAUUAACGCCAACGAUCGGACAUCAUAUACUUACUUUUAUUUAUUAUCCUUAAAAAUAGAUAAAAAUGUAUAGAAUUUUUAUGAACUACAAAUCAUUUUGAUGCAACUACCUCAUCUUUUAAAAUUUUAGCAUUUUAAUUUUUUAAAUUUAUUUAAUCUAAAUCAUUUGAAGACUCAUUCAAUACAAAGUUUAAGUAAUUAAUUACAUUUUUUAAUAAAUAUAUAGUUAUAUAAAUUUUAUAAAAUAUACUAAUUGAAUCUGCAAAAUAAAUAACACAUUUAAAAUUUUAAUUGAACGUGCAAAGAUAAAUGAUACAUUUAAAAAUUUUAAAUUAAAAGAAUAUUUAAUAGUUCAAAUCAAAUAAAUUAAUAAGUUAGGCAGAAAAUUAAAUUUUUAAAAAUUAGAUAGUUAGAACAAAAUGGUUGAAAACUAAUGUUAAAUAAUAUGAAAUAACUGUUAUUUUCUAAAAAUUUAAGCCGACAGAGAACGGUAUUUAAAUAUUUUUUAUAUUUAUCAUUCCUCCUCAUGUCUAGGUUCGAAAUUUUUUUUAGACUCAUCGCAUGGAUUUGAAUUAAAUAGAAGAAAAUUAAUAAUAUUAGGAGUCUGACGUGAUUCAAAAUCAGGCCCUUCUACUCUGAAAUCAUAUUAAAUAAUACGAAAAAAUCGUUAUUCUCUAAAAAUUUAAACUGAAAAUAAUAUUUAAAUAUAAAAAUAUCUAACCACUAAAGCAAGUUCUAUGCAAUUUUACCUUGCAAAUAACGAUUUAAUUUGUACUUCAUCCGUACAACCAAUAAGUCCGCCUAUUCGUCUCAAUUACUUUUUCUACAGUUUUUUUUUUGUUUUUGUUUUUUUGUCCUGAAUUUGAUUUCGAUUUGUACGAAGGUCUUAAGGCUAGUUCAGAACAACUUCCAAUCAAUUGAUGGAUAAAUCUGACGAGAGUUGGUUCGGUAAUUUCUGCAUUCUCCCGAUGUAACGCCUCCAAUAGUCCCACAUCGGAUGGGAUACUAAUUUCGAUCAGUUUAUAUGAGACAUACACGCUAGUAAUAGUAACCUGGCUUAAGUAUUUUGGGCCGAUGGUUUGGGCCCAAUGAGUUAUUGUUGCUAGCGGGUCGGGUCGUUGCACCCGAUUAUACCCUGGCGUCCUGUUUUCAACUCCUUACGAACACAAUCUAGAAGAUUUAUUAGUCCACGACCUUAUAUGUGAGAAUAAAUACAGCUUAAAAGGACCAACUUAUUCUUAACUACUAGAAUCAAUUAAGCAUAUGGAUAAUGUAUACAAUAUAUGUGUAUCUUACUAUUAGUACGUAUCACUUCUUUUGUGAAGUGAAUUUUUGUAAAACAACUAGGAUUAAAUUAAAGAAACCAUUGAAUAAGGACCAAGUUUUCUUUAUUUUCCUUGAUGAGAAAUUUAAACAAAGGACCAACUUGUUGGGCAAAAAGAGAGCGGGGCGAGUGAGAGGGGAAUGAGGAGUGAAUAAGCUAGGGUUGUUCACCAAAUUGGAUUAGAUUCUCUCCUCCUUUCUCUUUGCCCCACACUCUCCCACCCACAAACACAUGCUGAGAGGGCUUUCUAGAAUCCUUAAAAGGUGGAGUUAGUGUGUGGUGUUAAAAAAAUGUCGGUGGGUGGAGAUAGAUUACUUUCAUGGAAUACCAUACCAUGGGUGCUCGAAAAGGUACCCCUAACUAUAAAUCAGCGAGCUCAGCAAUUCACAUGUGAUAACUACUUAUCUCAUAUGAUUUGCUCGGAUGAAUCUAUAUUGCUAAUCUCUUAUCUCAUUUGAUAUAUGAAUCUCAACAUGCUUCGUAGCGCAAUUCACUUGAUAUAUAUUGGAACCCGCCACCAACUUAUCCUACAGAUUAAAAUAA